rnacentral:lncRNA from 1 species
UUUUUUUUUUGGGUUUUUUUUUUGUAGUACAUUCUAAAAAAUAUAUAGUAUUUAUUCCAAUAAGAAUUUUUAUAAAAAUAAUAUUUUAUGUGUAAUUUGGAUACAUAUAAUAAACAGAGCAUGUAUAAUCUAUACAGCCCUGUUUUUUAUAUGUAUCCAAAUUACACCUAAAACACUAUUUUCUAAAAAAAUUCCAGUUAAAAUAAAUAAUAUAUAUUUUUUAAGAGGUACUACAAAAAAAAAUCAAAAAAAAGAAAAAAAAAAUCAUUAGAAUGUCACUAAAAAAAUAUCCCCUAAAAUUAUAUAUAUAUAUAUAUAUAUAUAUAUAUAUAUAUAUGUGUGUGUGUGUGUGUGUGUGUGUGUGUGUGUGUGUUCACAUUAGAAAAUGUGAUUAACGAAUAGUGUUUGCUAUAUUAUAAAAGUAACUGUUAGUAUAAAAUUAAUUAAUAUAAUGUUAACGUCGAAUGUGAUCAUUUUCUCUAUAUGUACUAUAAACAAAUCUAUGCCCUUUAAUUGGGAAAAAAAUGGUUCAUAUUUCUAAAGUUUUAACACUUUCGCUACUCUACUAUUAGUGGCAAAUAAUAUUUAAAAAAAAAUUAAAAUCAAUUUCUAUUCAAUUGGAUAUUCUUUUCGUUCCAUAAUAUAUGAUUUUUUAAAAUUAUUUAACAUUUUAUAUAAUUUAGUGGGAAAAUAUUUUAAAGAAAAGAGAGUGAGAUAAGUAUAUGAUAAAUAGUAUUAUAAAUAAUUAAUAUUAUAUGUAAUAUUAUACAAUUAUUUUUUUAAUUUUUGCGCAUAAUUCUAAAAUCUAUAUAAUAAAACAGAACCUAUUUUGAAUCUUUUAUUUAACAAAGCACAAGAACGGUUCAGAUUCAUUCUAACUUAAUUCUUCCAACUUAAUCUAAAGGCUCAUAUUUCUUCCCGCCCAAAUCAAAUUCACUAAUACACCAUACUCUCUCUCAUGUUCACACACAAAAUCUUUCUCUCUCCUCUCUUCUUCGCGCACACAAACAAAUAAUAAUAAUAAUUAUAAUAAUAAUAAUAAUUAUAAUUGUACUAAUAAUAAUAAUAGUAAUAAUAAUAAUAAUAAUAAUUAUUAUUAUUAUUAUAAAAAGAAUAAUUAUAAUAUCUAUAUAAUAAAAUAGAAACUAUUUUGAAUAUUUCAUUUAAUAAACCACAAGAACGGUUCAGAUUUCAUCUCAAUUCUUCCAACUUAAUCUAAAGGCUCACAUUUCAUCUCACACUAAAAAUUCCCGCCCAAAUCAAAUAACAAUAAUAAUAACAAUAAUAAUAAUAAUAAUAAUAAUAGUAGUAGUAGUAGUAAUUAUAAUAAUAAUAAUAAUAACAAUAAUAAUAAUAUUCAUAUUCAUAUUAAUAAUAAUAGUAAUAAUAAUUAUUAUUAUAAUUAUAAUAAUAAUAAUUAUAAUAGUACUAAUAAUAAUAAAUCUAUAUAAAAAAACAGAAUCCAUUUUGAAUCUUUCAUUUGACAAAGCACAAGAACGGUUCAGAUUCAUUCUAACUAAUUUCUUCUAAUUUAAUCUAAAGGCUCAUAUUUCUUUCCGUCAAAAUCAAAUUCACUCAUACACCAUACUCUUUCUUAUGUUCACACAUAAAAUCUUUCUCUCUCCUCUCUUCUUCACACACACAAACAAAUAAUAAUAAUUAUUAUUAUAAUUAUAAUAAUAAUAAUUAUAAUAGUACUAAUAAUAAUAAAUCUAUAUAAAAAAACAGAAUCCAUUUUGAAUCUUUCAUUUGACAAAGCACAAGAACGGUUCAGAUUCAUUCUAACUAAUUUCUUCUAAUUUAAUCUAAAGGCUCAUAUUUUUUUCCGUCAAAAUCAAAUUCACUCAUACACCAUACUCUUUCUUAUGUUCACACACAAAAUCUUUCUCUCUCCUCUCUUCUUCACACACACAAACAAAUAAUAAUAAUUAUUAUUAUAAUAAUAAUAAUAAUAGUAAUAAUAAUAAAUAUUAUUAUAAUAGUACUAAUAAUAAUAAUAAUAUUUAUUAUUAUUAUUAUAAUAAAAAUAAUUAUAAUAUCUAUAUAAUAAAACAGAACUCAAUUUGAAUUCUAUAAUUUGACAAAACACAACAACGUCUCAAAUUCAUUCUAACUUAAUUUAAAGGCUCACAUUUCAUCUCACACAAACAAAAUUCCGCCCAAAUUUUCUCCUUCAUUUUCUCUCUCCUUUUCUCUUUCCCUUUCUCUCUCCUCUACUCCUUCCCCCUUUCUCUCUCCUCUACUCCUUCCCCCUUUCUCUCUCCUCUUUCCUCCGUCUAUUCUCUUUCUCUCUCCUCUACUCCUUCCCCCUUUCUCUCUCCUCUCUCCUCUCUCCUCUCUCCCCCGCCUUCUCUCUUUCUCUCUACUCCUGAUCCUCUCCUCCCUUUCUUUCUCUAUCAUCUCUCAUCUUUUUCUCUCUCCUCUGCCGUUUCUCUUCUCCUUUUUCUCCAUUUACUUAAUUAAUUAGUAUUUUAAUAUUUUAUUUUAAAUUAUAAUAAUUUUUGAAGUAUACAUACAUUUAAAAUAUAUAAUACAUAAAUAAGAAAACAAUUACAAAAUCAAAAAAUUAAUUUAUCAAAAACAACAAAUAUUAAUAAUAAUUACUACUACUACUACUAUAAUAAUAAUAAUAAUAAUAAUAAUACUAAUAAUUACUACUAUAAUAAUAAUAAUAAUAAUAAUAAUAAUAAUAAUAAUAAUUACUACUACUAUAAUAAUAAUAAUUACUACUACUACUACUAUAAUAAUAAUAAUAAUAAUAAUUACUACUACUAUAAUAAUAAUAAUAAUAAUAAUAAUAAUAAUAAUAAUAAUAAUUACUACAACUAUAAUAAUAAUAAGAGUAAUAAUUACUAUAAUACUAAUAAUAAUAAUAAUUAUAAUAAUAAUAAUUAUAAUUACUACUAUAAUAAUAAUAAUAAUAAUUACUACUACUACUAUAAUAAUAAUAAUAAUAAUACUAAUAAUUAUAACAACAAUAAUAAUAAUUAUUAUUAUUAUAGUACUAAUAAUAAUUAUUAUAAUAAUACUAAUAAUUAUUAUUAUUAUUUAAAUAAUAGUAAAAAUAAUAAUAAUUACUACUACUAUAAUAAUAAUAAAUAUCUAUAUAAUAAAACAGAACCCAUUUUGAAUCUUUCAUUUGACAAAGCACAAGGACGGUUCAGAUUCAUUCUAACUUAAUUUUUCCAACUUAAUCUAAAUGCUCAUAUUUCUUCCCGCCCAAAUCAAAUUCACUCAUACACCAUACUCUCUCUCAUGUUCACACACAAAAUCUUUCUCUCUCUUCUCUUCUUCACACACACACAAAAAUAAAUAAUAAUAGUACUAAAAAUAAAUAUAAUAAUAAUAAUAAUAGUACUAAGAAUAAUUAUAAUAGUAAUAAUAAUAAUAAUAAUUAUUAUUAUAAUAGUAAUAGUAAUAGAAAUAAUAAUUAUAAUAAUAAUAAUAAUAAUAAUAAUAAUAAUAAUAAUAAUAAUAAUAAUAAUAAUAAUAAUAAUAAUAAUAAUAAUAAUAAUAAUAAUCUAUAUAAUAAAGAUUCUGAUUCAUUCUAAUUGAUUUGAGCGGGAAAGCACAAGUACGGUUCAGAUUCAUUCUAAUUUUAAUUCAAAAUAAUAAUAAUUAUAAUAUAAUAAUAAUAUUAUUAUAAUAGUAAUAAUAAUAAUAAUAGUAAUAAAGUAAUAAUAAUUAUAAUAAAAUUAAUAUUAAUAUUAAUAAUUAAAAUUAUAAUAAUAAUAAUAACAACAACAACAACAACAAUAACAAUAAUAAUAAUUAAAAUAAUAAUAAUAAUUAUUGUGGUGGUGUGGUGAAUUAUGAUAAUUUUUAUUGAUAAUUGUAAGUUUUGUAGACAAGUUUAAUUUUUUCUGGAUAUCUAUUUUUAAAGGAAAAUUAAUUAUUGUGGUAGUGUGGUAAAUUAUGAUAAUUAUUAUGUCUGAUUUUAAGUUACAAAAAGUCUUUAGGUAAUAAAGUAUUUUUCAAAUUUCAAUUUAAUUUUUUGUUACGUCGUGCCUUCAGGCACAGACAAUUACUAGUAUCUUAUAUUAUGAGACAGGAGAAGGAGAGUAUAUAUAUAUAUAUACCAUCGAAAGAGGUGCAAAUCAUUUUGAUCGGCAUUUAUCAUUCAUUCAUUCACACCUUUACAUGCAUUUGGAUUGCCAGCUAGUUAUUUAUAAUAAAUUAUAGUAGUACCUCAGUAACAAAAAGAGACAAGAGCGGGGAGAGAGAGAGAGAGAGAGAGAGAGAGAGUAGUCGACUGCAUAAUGCAAAUUCAGCGUGCUGAGUCCUGGCAAAGGUAUACGUAGUAGUUGUCUUCUCUAGUCCUAAGUCCUAACUAUAUAAUUUGCCUUUUGAUCUCAAUGAAAAUAUGAAUAAUGCUAAGAUUAUAGUUUUGGGAUAUAAUUAUAAUUACAAGAUUAUUAAGUCAUUUUAUAAUCUCUAAAUUAAUAGUCUCGCAUUUAAAUUUAAAAACAAACAAGAAACUUGAUAUUAAUAAUUAUAUCUCAAGUAUAAUUCUUGCAAACAAACAUAGUCUAAAUAGACAUAAAAAUUAUCCUUCAUCAGAUCCAUAAUUUGAAUUUCAGUUAUUUAAAUCAUCCUUCAUCAGAUCCACAACAGCAAAUGAGGAGGCCCAAUUACACUCGACUCUUGGCGUUAAUUGAUUAUUAUUAUAUACACAAGGAGCCUCCUUUUUGAUUGCUUGUGAAAUUAGCAAGAGGAGAAAGAAGGCUUUUAGUAUUGGGCAAACUUUAGGUGUCCAGCCCAAUCUUGUAGCUUUUCCUUUAAAUCUUGUUUGGAAUGUGGAAUUUGGAUUUAAUCAUUAAACUGAUCUUGUCAAUGUUAUCCAAAAUUAUUGAACCUUCAAACAAUUGUAAAAAUUACUCAUAAUUUAACUACAAGAAUUAAUGUGUACAUAUAAUAUGACGUGUGCAUAUGAUCUCAUAAAAAAGACACUUAAAGCCACUGCAAAUUGCAUUUUUAAAAUGCUGUUUUAAUUUGUCUUGUGGAUUAAUUGUUGAGAUUUAAUUAAUCUAAACUACAAAUGAAAGCGAGGUACCCUCACCUGUUCGAAACACCAGGUACGUACGUCAAUUUCGAGGACGAAAUUUUAUAAGGAGGGGAGGUUGUAAGAUCCCAGCUUUUUAUAAAAAAAAUCGAAUUUUCUCUAUUCAUUAUCUUGAAAUAAUAAAGAGUUAAUUUGAUAUAAUGUUUUGGUUAUGGAUGAAAUGUGAAAAUUUUACAAAAUAAGCAAGUGGUUGUAAAAUAUUCAUUUCUGUCGGGGAAUAUUCGUUUGGUCGUGGAAUAUUCUUUUUAUCGGGAAUAUCCGUAUGACGGCGUAGUCAUUUGUGGGCCCCAUAACGGAAUAACUGUCGGAUGAAGAAAAUAACAAGUUUGAGUUUUUAUAAAUAACAGCGUAGUUGUUACCGUUAACACUGUUGGAAUACCCGGUGGUUAAAAUACAGUAAUACGCGUGGUUGCACAGUAGCACACGGUAUUGCACAGUAUUGUUGAAUUAUUGAUUCUUACGUAAGAAGGCACUACUCAAUAAUUGUUACAGUAAUUACUGUUCAAUAUUUUAUUUUAUUGAUUCAAUAAUUGCUGCGUUGAUAUUUUAUAUUAUUGUUGUUUCAAUAAUUGUCACUGCACAGUAUUUCCCAUUAUCAGAUCAAUAAUUCAUAUUAUUUGAAUAAUAUUAUUAGAUAGCAUUAUUGGCAAUGUCUAGAAAGUUCUAUCAAGGAGAGGUUUGGUCACCUAAUUGUGCGCCAGUAAGGAGAAAUCCUUAUUGGAAAGCCCCCUCUUUCCUGGGAACGGUUUGGUUGUCAUAAUUGUGAUUCUGUAAUAUUAUUUAUGAAUAAUUAAUUAUUUAUUAAUAUGAUAAGAAAAUAUUUAUUUGACGUGGAUAUAAAUGAUGGAUUUAUUUAUGUGGUUAUAAAUGAAGGAAUUAAUGUUGAGGUAUUUUAUCAGUAUUUUGUCGGAUUGGAGGUAUUAAAAACUCAAAUCGGUGUUCUUAAAGCUUUAUUGCGUGAGUUGUAAUUCUAAUCCGACUGUUGGAUCGUUGUGAUUUUUGGAUAUGUUAUUCAUAUAUGAGUUGAGUAUAUGUCCACAAAUUUUGAACCGUUGAAAAUUAACGCAUGAUUUGUUAUGAAUUUUAAAAGGUGUUGAAAAUCGUCCGUUUGUGGAUUUCGGAUAUUUUCUGUUUGGAAUUUGGAAAGACUCAUAAUUACAAAGUUGUAGAAAAUUCGAUUUCAUGCGAAAUGGACAUAAAAUUCGUAUUUUUCUGAUAAAACGGCUAUUUUCUAUGAAUUAUUGAAGUUUCGAAAAAUAAAAUGAUUUUUAUUAAAUUAUGGGUGGGACCCACUUUUGUUUUAACACAUAUGGGCUGCUGAAUUUCUUCCAAGAUGGCUGUCCAAAAAUUCAACAAAGCAUGCAUAAGGAAUUUUGAAUAAUAAUAAUAUUAUUUUAUUACUUAGUCUCCUAUAGCGUUCUAGCAUUUUCCUAUAAAUAGAUGCUUAGGUUAGAAUUGAAAAUCACACCAGAAAUAAGUUUUCUUUCUCUCUAGAUUAUCGAGCGUAUUUUUAUGAGUAUUUUGAUACUUUGAGAGUUGCUGUUCGGUACAAGUUUCCUUCGACUUUCUAUCCGAUAUUUCAAUCAGAAGUACCGUUAUUUUGAGGUAAGGGAUGUUAUUUUCUUCUUCAAUGAUAUUAUUUUCUUCAAUAUCAUUAUGCCGAAAUAUUGGUUUGAACUUUUUAAUCAAAUUUGGAACUUUUGUGUCGGGAUUACUAUUCACGUAUACGGCACUAUUCACGAAUACGACACUAUUCACCGAAAAAUCAAAUUUUCUCUUUUUCGUCCUAGAUGUCUUUUAUGGUUACUAUCUUUGAUUGUAUCCAUGUUUUGAUCUUUAUUUUUGAAUUCUACUUCACACUUGUUUAUUAUGGAGUAUUAUUGAAUUUGGAUAAACCGAAAUACGAAUUCAUAAUAUUUGUCCUUAUGUCUUACUGGAUUCGUUCUCUAAAAUGUUUUUCAUUAUCCUCAGUCCUUAAUGGUGGUUCUUUAUGAAUAUCUUUGGCCUGUAGUUCAAAGAUGAAUGAUUACCUGAUGAAUAUCUUUGGCCCGUAGUACAAAGAUGAACAGGUGUUGAGAUGAACAUGACCAACUGGCACUACAAGAAAUCACACAUUUUAUGAUGAAAAUUUUUGCCACGCACAAAAUUUUGUCACAAUUUGUUAAUUAAUAAUUACGAAAUUCAUAAUCGUCACUAAAACUUUUGCUUUUGUGACGACUUUUACUUUUGUUACUAUUAAUCAUUUAUAUCGUCACUAAUUUACACAUUUGAUGACGAUUAACAAAAUUUUGUCACAAGUUAUUUUGGUAGUAGAAUUUCGUACCAAAAUUUUGGAGGGAAAUCUUUUAGUGACAUUUUUUAAUAAUUGAUGACAGUAUUUAUUGUCACAAAAUAUUUCUUUCGAUGACAAUAUAAUUGUUUGUCAUUAAUUAUUUGUAAAAUUUAGUGACAAUGUGCUUUCGUCACUAAUGUUCACAUUUAGUGACGCCAAAUACAAAUUCGUCACAAUUUUAUUUGGAGGCAAAAUUUUGGAGGGAAAUUUUUUAAAGACGAAAAAAUAAUAAUAUUGUCAUAAAUACCAAUUUUAUAUGACGAGAUAAUAGUUUGUCACUAAUUAGAUGAGUGGAUAAGUGACGAAAAUGGGUCGUCAUAAAUUCUUAUAUUUAGUGACAAAGUACGUAAUAUCGUCACAAUUUUAUUUGGAGGCAAAAAAAUUUUCAUUCUAUUUUUAAAAUGGCUUGUGGGUGUAUAUAAGUUAUAUAUAUAUUUUUUUUUAUAAAAAUUGUUCUUAAAUUAAUUAAUUUGAUUAAGAGAAGAGGUAAUUCACUAUAUGAAGUCCUAUAUAAAAUGAGCCAAAGUACACAUCUACAGUGAGUAAUUCAGUGUUUGAUAAGUUAGGAAUAUUUUUAUUUCUUGAAAAAUCAAGAAUAUUUCUUGAAGGUUAUUCAAGCCUUUGAGGAUGACACUUAUCUUAGUUUUUCAUUUUCAUAUACUUGUUAUCUGAGUAGAAGGGCUCUUUGUUUGCAGUCCGAUCUUGCUGCGAAGAUAAUUGGAAUGCUUUUGGAAAUGGACAACUCGGAACUGCUUUUAUUAUUGGAGUCGCCAGAGUCUCUAUCUGCCAAAGUGGAAAAAUCUGUGCAAGUGUUCAAGCUCUCUAAUUGACCUGUAUUCCAAGUGUGCAGAACUUGUGGCUGCUCUCUUUCAACUGAAUGAUCGGAGGGUAUUGCCAAGCUGGCUACUGUGGCAAAGCCCACGAUCUCUUCAUGAAAAUGCAUGAAUCAGAUGUACAACCAAAUGUUAUCACGUGGAAUGUGAUGAUCAAUGGAUAUAUUAAAAAUUAAGAUGAGGAUCAAGCUAUGGACCUUUUUCAUAUGAUGGAGAAUGAUGGGAACAUUAAGCGGGAUACUGCAACAUGGAAUGCUCUUAUUGCUGGCUACUUGCAAAAUGGGCACAAGAACAAGGCACUAGGUAUAUUUCGCCAGAUGCAAUCCUUUUGUGUUAGACCAAACUCAGUUACCGUUUUGAGCAUUUUACUUGCUUUUGCAAAUGUAGUUUCAGCUAAAAAAGUUAAAGAGAUUCAUGGUUGUGUAUUGCGCAGAAACUUAGAGUUUGAGCUUGCUGUUGCAAACUCGUUUAUAGACACUUAUGUCAAGUCUGGAAUUUUAUUGUAUGCAAUAUAUUUGAUGGGAUGCCAACCAAAGAUAUUAUUAGCUGGAACACGCUGAUAUCUGGUUCUGUUUUAUAUGGUUAUCCUGGUGCUGCCCUUGAUCUCUUUGGUCAGAUGAGAGAAGAGGGAAUGAAACCAAACAGAGGUACAUUUGUGAGUAUUAUUUCUGCUUACAGUCUUGCCAAAAAGGUUGAUGAUGGGGAGCGAGUUUUCUCUAGUAUGACUCAAGAUUUUGACAUUUUACCAUGUUUAGACCAUUGUACAGCUAUGAUAGAUUUAUACAGUUGUAAAUUUUUUGUUAAAUCAUUCUGCAUAUUUUUACGCUUGCCAAAAAUUUAUAGUUUUGAAUUUUUUCCCCGUGCUUCUUGCCAAAGAUCUAAUGUUUUUCUUUUUCAAGAAAACAUGAGUCCAUAAUGCACUUGUUUUUCAUUUCAUUUUACUUACUUUUUCACUAAUUCUUAUUGCAGAGGCUGUGCCGAAACGGAUUUUAGAUUUGAUGAAUGUGGAAAAGCUUACUAGAGAAAAUGUGGCUAGCCAACUCCAGGUAAAAUCACUCAUCUUUCCUGCUUUAGUUCUGUACAAUUUCAACCUGUUUCAGUAAAUCAUUCUAAAAAUUUGCAAAUACAAAUGAUUCGAUCAAAUAUAGAUUUCAUCCUGUUUGUUGCAGCUUCUUUGUACUAGAAUAUACUUAUAGGUUAGAAUAAGCUGCUGGUAUGAUGUGCGUUACAGCUUCAUUGUAAUAGAGUAUACUUAUAGGUUAGAAUAAGCUGCUGGUAUGAUGUGUGUUGCAACUUAUAUGAAUAAGCAUUAACCAGAUUAUUACUUGAAAUGUUAUGGGCAAAAUUUACAAGUUGCUCAAUUGGUGAUUAUCACACUAAAGAUUGUGCAAUGUUUACUGAGUUAUCUAAACUGAAUAUGUAAGACCCCAACUUAUUAUAAAUAAAAUUGAAUUUUCCUUUAUUCAUUAUUCUAAAUUAAUAAGGGUUAAUUUGAUAUAAUUAUUUGGUUAUGGGUGAAAUGUGCAAAGUUUACAAAAUAAGCAAGUGGUUAUAAAAUAUUCAUUAUUGUCGGGGAAUAUUCGUUUGGUCGUGGAAUAUUCUUUUUGUCGGGAAUCUCCGUACGACGGCGCAGUCAUUGGUGGGCCCCAUAACGGAAAACGGUUGGAUGAAGGAAAACGACAAAGAUUGAGUUUUAUAAAUAACGACGUAAAUUGUUACCGUUAACACUGUUGGGUUACCUGGUGGUUAAAAUACAGUAAUACGCGUGGUUGCACAGUAGCACACGGUAUUGCACAGUAUUAUUGAAUUAUUGAUCCUUACGUAAGAAGGCACUACUCAAUAAUUGUUACAGUAGUUACUGUUCAAUAUUAUAUUUUAUUGAUUCAAUAAUUGCUGCGUUGAUAUUUUGUAUUGCUGUUGUUUCAAUAAUUGUCAUUACACAGUAUUUUCCAUUAUCAAAUCAAUAAUUCAUAUUAUUUGAAUAAUAUUAUCAGAUAACAUUAUUGGCAAUGUCUAGAAAGUUCUGUCUAAGGAGAGGUUUGGUCACCUAAUUGCGCGCCAGUAAGGAGAAAUCCUUAUUGGAAAGCCCCCUCUUUCCUGGGAACGGCCUGGUUGUCAGUACUGUGAUUCUGUAAUAUUAUUUUUAAAUAAUUAAUUAUUGAUUAUUAUGAUAAAGAAAAUAUUUAUUUUAUGUGGAUAUAGAUGGAGAAAAUUUUUAAUGUGACAAUUGUUGAAAAUUAAUAUUUUAUCUUUUUCUGAUAAAAUAAUUCAUUUAAAUAUAUUAUUUUAAUAAUAUAUUAACGGUGAUAUUUUUAUAAUGAAUGUGGGAUAUAUGAGUAUAUGAGGAGGUAGAGUAUUUUGUGGCAUUAAAUGUUUAACAUAUGUUUUGUGUGUCGGUGGACACAAUUCUUGACCGAAAAUUGAUUAUAGACUGUAAAAUCGUCCGUUUAUGGAUUUCGGUCAAUUUCUGUUUGGAAUUUGGAAAAAUUUUCUUCUGCAAAGUUGUAGAGAAUGGAAUUUCCCAUGGAAAGUCGCGAGUUUCGAAUUUUUCUGAUAAACGAGCUAUUUUCUACGAAUUAUUGAAGUUUCGGAAGAUAAAAUAAUUUUUAUUAAAUAAUGGGUGGGACCCACUCUUGUUUGAACAUGUGGGCUGCUGGAAAUUGGGUCAAGGUUGGCUGGUGGCUGAAGUGUUCAAAUGGCAUGCGUAGAAAUGUAAUUUUAAAUAAUAAUAAUUUAUUAAUUUAGUCUCCUUUGGCGUUCUAACAUUUUCCUAUAAAUAGAGGGCUAAGUUAGAAUUGAAAAUCACACCAGAAACUAAGUUUUCUCUCUUUCUCUCUCUAAAUUAUCGAGCGUAUUCUUGUGAGUAUACUUUGAGUGUUGCUAUACGGUGCGGGUUUCUGUCAGCACUAUACCGAAAUUCAGUCAGAAGUACGGUUAUUUUGAGGUAAGGGGUAUUAUUUUCUUCUUAAAUGAUAUUUUUUCUUCAAUAUCAUUAUGCCGAAGUAUUGGUGAACUUUUUUAUCAAAUUUGGAACUUGUUGUGUCGGGGUUACUAUUCACGUAUACGGCACUAUUCACGUAUACGACACUAUUCACGAAUACGGCACUAUUCACCGAAAAAUAAAAAUUUUUCUUUUUGUCCAAAAUAUCUAUUCUGGAUACUAGCUUUGAUUGUAUCCAUGUUUUGAUCAUUCUUGAAUUUUACACCAAUAUGAUUAUUUUCGAAGUAUUUUUGGACAUGGGUAAAACAAAGUACGAAUCCUUAAUCCUUAAUCCUUGUCAUUUUGUUUCACUGGAUUCGUUUCUUUAAAAAUGUUUUUCAUCAUCCUCAGUCCUAAAUGGUGAUAUAAAUGAAUAUCUUUGGCCUGUAGUGCAAAGAUGAACGAUUAACUGAUGAAUAUCUUUGGCCUGUAGUGCAAAGAUGAACAGGUGUUGAGAUGAACAUGACCAACUGGUGAUACAAAUGAAUAUCUUUGGCCUGUAGUGCAAAGAUGAUUAAAGAUGUAUAUUGAUUGUUAUUACAGGGAUAAACUAUUGAUGAUGGACUUUUAAACCUUAGAAGACAGUAGAAUUCUUUCUCUACGUGACUCUUCUAAUGGAUUGCUGUUUCCGCUGCAUUUGUUGAUCUAAAACUUGUUGUCUAUUGUAUUCUAUUAGAUUUUUCCCUGUUGAAGACUAACGAUAAUUUGUUGUAUAUUAUCUUAGUCAUAAUAUUCUUUACUGGGCUAGUUGAGCUCACCCUUUUCCUUUUUGUUCCAUUUUUCUUCUCAGGAGGUGAGAACAUAGCAGGAUCGAGUCGGGGUAUGGAGUGAUGGUGCUAGGAAGAUAUUUUAGCUGUCCUCACUAUUUCUAUAAAAUAGUGUAUGAAUAAUUAAUGAGGACUUAUUUGGGUGUGUAUAUUGUCUAGAAGACAAUAUUUGUAUUCGAACUCAUAGUUGUAUUGUCGUAUUCUACACGACAUCUGUAUUGUCAAAGUUGUAGUUUGCUUUCUAUAUCAUGUAUUUUGGCGACUCAGAAUGGGUGUUGUAUACCUAUUUUGGGGGCGUCACAGAAUACCUUUAAGAAAAUUCAUUAAAAUUUGUGUAGCCUAAAUGAUCUCAAUAACAGCGAUAAGUACACAUCAAUUUUGUAGUGAUUUGAGAAAUUUGAAAACAAAAUUGUAUUUGAUUUUCCGGUGAACACCUUUUAUGCAUAUGCUUUUGUGACCUUUUAUGAAAAAAGUUUUCUACAUUCUGUAGACCUUUUAUUUACAAAAGUUAUGUGGGUAUUGUGAAUAAAGGCCACUAUGAUUUCCAAAUAGUGACUCUGGCAAAUAAAUGUCUAUGCACUUUAUCUAUAUAAUUUUCCGAAUGCGUGUUCACAAUUUUUAUGUUUCAUAUUGAGGAAUAUUUGUUUCAUAUCCGGAUCUUUGUCUCUUAAGUUUGUCGAAUUCAUGUUUUAGAUCCUAUGCCAAACAAAUGCUCCUCUAACAUUCUGCUACAUUUAAUUAUGUUAACUUUAUGACAAGUAUAAUUUCCACCAUGAAGAAUGCAGCCCAAUUUAGAUAUUAGAGAUAACAGUAAUUUAGGUAAGGUUGGCCUACAUGCAAAACACUUGAGAAGUAAAUCUGCAUGCCUUUGUGACAGGUCCCAAUCACAAUUCACUUUGAUAUUGGGAAUUCCAAGAAAGAGUUGAUGGAAGUUCUAGAAUUAGUAAGCUGUCUUGCUAGUAUAUUGAAGUAGAUAUUUUAUGUAACUCUAUUUUGGUUACUUUUCCAUUGAAUUUUGUAAUGUUCAAAUUAGAACUAUUGAGCUUUAAUGUAUCAUUCGCAAUCUACUUAUCAAUACAAACCAUUGCAGAGAUUCGAUUCAGUCAUGAUAGAUGGUUCAGAGUUUCCUUUCAAAGAGAAUAUCUCAUACAUGAAAUUCAUUUCAUCCUUGGCACAUGCAAAAGGUAUGCUAGUGGAAGCUGAACUAGGAAGAUUGUCAAGAACUGAAGAUGACUUGACAAUAAAAAAUUAUGAAAGCAACAAUGACCGACAUUAAACAGGUUUUUUUUUAUUAAUUUAUUUAUUUCGCCCCAGUUGGUUAAACUUUCAUCUCGGUUCUUUUACAAUAAUAGUAUACUUCAGCUAAAGCCAAGAAUGUAUCUGCAAAGAAUAAGGAGACCUUUCAGCUAGAAAUCUAGAAGAAAUAUAAAGAGAUCUUGGGACGGCCUGAUGUAAAGCAGAAAAUAGAGGUGCUGAAGGAUGAAAUCAGAAACUUUGGUGCGUCUGGAGUUCACGUGAAAAUAGUUCAUGCACAUGGUGGUCAUUAGCUCAUUAAUUUGCACUUGAUUGUGAAAAUAGUUCAUGCACAUGUUCAUGUAUUUGAGUAUUAAUUAACUGCAUUCUUCUGUUGGUAAGGCAGAGUUUGUUGCUCAGUUCUGCUAGCGUUAUUGUAAUAACACGAUGAUUUUAUUUAAAGGGUUGGAAUUUAUUAGUCAUCAUCUUGGUGUAAUCUUUUUUCUUAUUUCUAGAUCUAUAAUUUUAUAUUUAGUUUUUCAUUCGGUUACAACAAAUAAUUUUGUCACUAUUAAUAACUUUUUAUGUGACGAGAUGUAUCGUCACCAUAAACAUUAUUGACAUUAAAAAAUGUGUCCCAAAAAAUAACUCUUUCGUGACAAAUUAUUUUGUAAUAUUAUUUAAAAUAUGAAAUGACAACGACAUAAUUGUCAUGUUAAAUAUAUUAUUAGGUGACGAAUUGUUCUGUCGUCAUUUAUUUUUUUUAUUUUUGGUGACGAUAAACACAAUAACAUGAUGAAAGAAUAAUCAUAAAUAUGACAAUAUUGUCGUCAUUAAAAUUAGAUAAUUUAAAUUGAGUAACAUAUUUUCAUCACUAAAACAAUAUCAUUUAAUGACGAAAAAUAAUUUUUUCAUUUAAUGCACCAAGUUUUGUUGACGAAACAUAAUAUAGAGUGACGAAAGUUUUAUUCAAAUAGUGACGCUAUUAACGUCACUAAAAGUAAUUAAUUAUAGUGACAAUGAUGUAAAUCGUCACCAGAAGUCAAAACAUUUAGUGACGACAUAUAACAUUGUCAAAUAUACCUAAUACCACGCUCAUACGGUGACGGUCUCUGUGACGAUUAACAAUCGUCACCAAAUGUUUUAGUGACGAAAAAUGAAUUUUAUGUGACAAAUUUUAGCGUCAUUUUUUGUGUGAUUUCUUAUCGUGUGGUGAUACAAAUGAAUAUCUUUGGCCCGUAGUGCAAAGAUGUAUAUUGAUUGAUGUUACAGGGAUAAAAUAUUGAUGAUGGACUUUUAAAUUCAUAGAUGAUAGUAAAUUUCAUUCUCUACUUGACUCUUCUAAUGAAUUGUUGUUUCCGCUGCAGUUGUUGAUCUAAAACUUGUUGUCGAUUAUAUUCUAUCAGAUUUUUUCCUGUUGAAGACUAAAGAUAAUUUGUUGUAUAUUAUCUUAGUCAUAAUAUUUUUUACUGGGCUAGUUGAGCUCACCCUUUUCAUUUUUGUUCCAUUUUUCUUCUCAGGAAGCGAGAACAUAGCAGGAACUAGUCGGGGUAUAGAGUGAUGGUCCUAGACAAUUGUUUUAGCAGUCCUCACUAUUUUUUGUAAAAUAGUACAUCAAUAAUUAUAAUGAGGACUUUAUUUGGGUGUUGAUAUUGUCUAAAAGACUAUAUUUGUAUUUAAACUCACAGUAUGUGUUGUCGUAUUUUGCACGACAAUUGUAUUAAUAAAGUUGUAGUUGUUUUUCUGUACCAUAUUUUUGGCGACUCAGAAUGGGUGAUGUAUACCUAUUUUGGGGGCGUCACAGAUAUGAUCGACGUGAUCAAUCAACUUCGCAAACAGACAUCACGACCCUUGGAGUUGGACUUUACCCCUCCUUACCCUGCACACAUUCGGAGGCAACCUUACCCAACAAGGUAUAUUGAACAUCCCCCGCAGUUUCCAAAAUACAACGGGGAGAAAGGAAAUGCCAGGGAACAUAAUGCAAGGUUUGUAGAGUCAAUGUCUCCAUGGCUUGGAUAUGAUGAAGUGAACAACCACAACUUGUUGAUGCGGUAAUUCAACAAGACUUUGACGGAUAGUGCCUUUAGUUGGGACUACAAUUUGGAGAAGGGGUCAAUCCAUGAUUGGGAUGACCUAAAAUUACAAUUUUUAAAGAAAUUUUUCCACGUGCAGAAACAGGUAACCAUUGUGGAGCUCAUGCGGUUCAAGCAUAAACCGAAUGAGGAGUUGUCAGAUUAUGUUGACUGGUUCAGGGCCCAGGCACAGAAGUGCGCAGAACCGAUUGAAGAAAAGAACUUAGUCAGCAUUUGCAACAAUGGUGCCUUAGAUGCUUUCAAGCCCCACCUCAUCACCAAGGCUUAUGAUUCCUUCGCGACCCUCUCAUCUUUUGCACAAGACUUGGGAGGAAUCAUGACAAUUCCCACUAACCAUGCGACGGUUACAUGGAAGGGCAAGAGGACAGCAAAACCAUAAGGAGGCAAGAGGGAGAAGCAUGAGAAGAAUUUUGAUCAAAGCAGAGGAAAGCUUGGAGACAAAUAUGAAAGAAAGCCAGUCCCGGAGGCUAUCACAUGUAGUGAGAAAGCAUUCAGGGGUCUGUAUGAACAAUGGGUUGAACAUUGGGUGGUGAAACCCCCAAGGCCUAGAUUUGCACUGACGGAAGAAAUGAAGAGAAGACCAGACUUCUGUGUAUUCCACCAAUACGCUGGACACUCAAUUAUGGACUGUUAUAGCCAGUGGAGGAUAUUCCACGAGAAGCUGGCAAAUGAGGAGAUUGAACUUGGAAAGGAAAGUAGCAUUCAUGAAAAACCGUUGCCAAACCACAAGGGGAAGGAAAUAUGCAACACUGUUAUUCACAGCACAAGCCCAGAAGUAGAGAUGAUGAUGGAAGAAAAGGAAGAGUGUGAUCCAGGCCUGCAGGUGAUAGCAUUGAUGAACGGAGCCAAGUACAGAAAUUUUUUUGAUCAGAUAGGAUUGGCCAAUGAAGCAAGGAUUGAGGCAACCAGGGCAAUUAUCAAGGCUGCCGAGACGCAGGAGACUUGCAUGGCCAUAAGUAAAGGAUUUGUAAAGACGAUGGAGGGAGAAGAAUAAGAUAGAGAGAUAAGAUACCCGCACAACAGGCCGCUGUAUGUGACAGUAGUAAUCAAUGGCAUCGAGGUGCGGAGUGCGUUCGUUGACAAUGGACCAUCUGUAAAUAUUAUGCCCUACACCGUGUUUAAACUGUUAGGCCUACCGGAGAAGAAGAUUGUGAAGGAACAAAUAAACAUUAUAUGAUUCGCCAACUAGAGCACAAGAACCUUGGGACACAUCAAGGUGGACAUACAAGUUGGGAAGAUUUGAGGACCUGUAAUGUUCCAUGUUGCCGAGGUGGAUGCAUCAUAUCAUGUCUUGCUAGGAAGGGCUUGGCAAAAUGACUACGGGGUGGUACCCUCGGUAUUUCAUCAAUGCUUGAAGGCUAUCUGGAAGGGAAGAGAAGUGAAUGUACCAGCAACUCGAAAUCCCUUUGGACCAGAGGAGGCACACAUCACUGAAGCAACUUUCUUUGAUGAUGUUGCUGAAGAGGGAGAGAACAAGAUUGCAAGACCUGAUUCCCUAAGACUAGCAAGCUGGGAGGAAGUGCAGGAAGAUAGGUUCGUAUUUACAGAAAAAGAGAAGAAGAAAACCUCAGAACACGGAGAAUGUUCUAAAAACAAGAAGCCAGUGGUAGUAGACCUAGAGAAAGAAGGAAGAGAAGAAAAGAAAAGGCCAGCAGACCUUGAAAAUGCCAGAAAUAUAAUAAAUGCCAAGCGGAUGACACAAUCUGACAAUGGCCAGAAGACAAAAUGGGAGAGGGUUGUUAAACCCGACGGAAAGGUGGUGUUUCGAUUAUGACGGUGCAAGGGGGAAGAGCCCAAGGAAGCGUGUGAACCCAAUGGCUCAGGAGGUGUCCCCCACUCCAGCAAUAAUGAAGAAGGAGGAGUUGUACAACAGAAGGUAGAACCAGCUCCGGAAUGCUUCGAGGAUAGGUCAAAACCUCAAAAAAAUGAAUUAAAAGAAGUUGAUUUGCCAACAGAGGGAUGAACGCCUAGACCAACUUAUGUUAACAAGUAGCUGGAUGCUAACCAGAAGGAGGAGCUUGUACAAUUAUUGCGAGAGUAUAGGGAUGUCUUUGCUUGGAAUUACGACGAGAUGCCAAGAAUUGACAAGGAUCUUAUGGAACACAAUCUAAACAUAAGCCUGGGAAAGAAACCAGUGAAGCAGACACCUCGCAACUAUGCACCCGAAGUCGAAACUCAAAUAAAGGAAGAGAUCAAAAAGUUGCUGGAAGUAGGGUUCAUCAAGCCAAUUCAACAUCCAACAUGGCUAUCCAGCAUUGUACCGGUAAAGAAAUCAAAUGGACAGCUACGAAUAUGUGUGGAUUUCAGAGACUUGAACAAGGCGUGCUCGAAGGACAUGUACCCAUUACCCAACAUAGACACUUCGGUAGAUGCAAUGGGUAAUCAUGAAAUGAUGUCAUUCAUGGACGGGUUUGUGGGUUACAAUCAGAUAAAGAUGUCCGUAAAAGAUGCAGAGUUGACAGCCUUUCGUACCCCAUUUGGGAACUUCUACUAUGUAGUAAUGCCAUUCGGGUUGAAGAAUGAAGGGGCAACUUAUCAAAGGGAAAUGCACGCUAUAUUUUAUGACAUGAUUCAUGAUAUAGUGGAGGACUAUGUGGAAGACGUAGUAGUGAAAUCCAAGAAGGCGAUAACUCAUGUGGAGGACCUGAGGAAAGUGUUUGAGCGAUGCCGAAGGUAUAAGUUGAGGAUGAAUCCGAAGAAGUGCACCUUUGGGAUGACGGCUGGAAAAUUCUUGGGCUUUUUGGUGCACAAUAGAGGUUUAAAAGUGGACCCAAGCAGAGAUGCCCCAACCAGAAACGCAGAAACAGUUGAAGAGCUUUCUAGGAAAAGUUUUAUACAUGAGAAGAUUCAUGCCAGCAUUAGCCGACGUCACAGAACCUUUCGACAAAUUGCUAAAAGGAAAGGAACAAUGGGACUAGGGGCAAGACCAACAACAGGCCUUUGAAAAGGUGAAAAGAAUUUUGGCUUCAGCGCAAAUGAUGGUAGUACCAUAAAGAGGAACGCCAUUGCAGUUAUACAUCACAUCUAUUAAGAAGUCCAUAGGUGGAUUGAUCACGCAAGAGGUGGAUGGAGAAGAAAAACAUGUGUAUUACAUUAGCCGGAUAAUCAGAGGACUGGAAACCAGGUAUUCACAGGUGGAAAGGCAUUGCCUAGCAUUGGUGUUCAUUGCGCAGAAAAUGCGGCAUUAUUUUUUAGCACACGAAGUAAAGCUUGCAACAAAAACUGAUACAAUCAGAUACCUAUUAACUAAGCCAGCAUUAGUAGAAAGACCUGCCAGAUGGAUGAUGAUUUUUUCAGAGUACGACAUCAAGUGUGUAACACCGAAGGCGAUCCGAUGUCAAGCCUUGGCAGACCUGCUGGCUCAAUUUCCAAAUGGAGAAUAUGAACCCCCUUCUGAGGACUUUUCGGGUGGAGAAGUAAAAUCAAUCGAGUUGAUAGAUGAGGACCUAGAAUGGUGGAGUUUGGCUUUUGAUGGAUCAUCUGCAGAAGGUAAAGGCAGAGCAGGAGUGGUGUUGACCACCAAAGAAGGAAAUGAAGUGGCCUUGUCAUACAAAUUGGAUUUCCCUUACACAAACAACGAAGCAAAAUAUGAGGAGUUCAUACUAGGAUUGUUGGCGGCUCAAGUAUUGGGAGCUAAACAUCUUAAAGUAAAGGGAGAUUCAAACCUCAUAGUGCAACAGAUAAGAGGCCAAUUCGGAGUGAAGGAACCUAUCUUGGCGCCAUAUCGAACUGUAGCACAAAAGGUGAUGGAGGCUUUCAAGAAGGUGGUGAUUGAAUAUGUGCCAAGAGGACAGAAUAAACAACCUGAUGCACUAGCAAUAGUAGCAUCUCGAGUCUAUGUCCAAGGUGAGGAUUUGGAUGUAAAGGUAAUGAAGAGAAUCCUCCCAACCAUGCUGCUAAAUUUGUUCCCCAAAGACAUGAUAGAUGAUUGGCGAUAUGACAUCUCCCAUCAAUUGCAAACAAAGGAGGGAACAAUACCUACCGUGAAGUUACAGAAGUAUAACAUCAUCAAGGGUGUCUUGUAUCCCAAAGAAGCAGACAGUGUAUUGACACGAUGCUUAGGGAGGCAGGAAGCAAAUAGAGUCUUGCAACAGGUGCAUGACGAGAACUGCGGAUUGGUAGACAUAGGCUUGUAUCGUAGGCUGCAGCGUCAAGGGUAUUAUUGGCCUGAAAUGAAGAAGGAAACAGAUGCCCUACAACGCCAAUGUGUUUCAUGCCAAGAAUACCCCGGGGAGGAUGAAUGCACCUUCAUUGAAGACAUAGUGGAUUGGCGAAUCCCUUAUGUGGAGUUCUUACAAAGCGGAACUCUUCCGACCGAAAAGAAGGACGCAAUUAUAAUCAAGAGGAAGUCACAACGUUUCUUCUUACAAAAUGGAGAAUUGUUUAGAAGGGCAUUCAAUGGCAAGCCCCUACGGUGUCUAGAACUAGGUGAAGCCAAAGAUUUAGUUUACCAAAUGCACAAGGAUGAACACCAAAGGGGAGCCAAGUUGUACAAACAACUUAUUGAUCAUGGUUACUACUGGCCAAAGAUAGAGGGAGAUUGUCUAGAAUUUGUUAAAAAGUGCCACAUUUGUCAAAUACACACAAACUUGAUCCAUGCUUCCGCCGUGGAUUUGCGAACCUUGGCAACACCAUGACCCUUUCAUAUAUGGGGAAUGGAUCUUAUAGGUCCUGUUCAUCCUAAUUCCAAGGGUAACAUAUGGAUUUUAACUGCCACCGAUAUGUACACAAAGUGGGUGGAGGCAAUACCCUUGAAGAAGGCCACGGGACCAGCUGUGGUCAAUUUUAUCAAAGAGCACAUCAUUUGCCAUUUCGGGAUCCUGAAGAUCAUUUUGUCGGAUAAUGGAACUCCCUUCAUCAAUAGGGAUGUCAAAAAUCUGAUGGAAAGAUACAGGGUGAAACAUUACAAAUCAUCACCCUACUACCUAAAAGGCAACGGACAAGCAGAGGCUACAAACAAAACCUUGAUAAAAAUUUUAUCAAAAACCCUAGACGAUCAUCCGAAGACAUGGGCAAAAUAAUUACCAAUAGCGUUAUGGGCAUAUCGAACUUCAAAAAGGAAGCCUACAUGCGAGACCCCAUAUGCUUUGGUUUAUGGUGAAGAAGCUAUCUUGCCCGCUGAAAUAGAAAUACCUUCGGCUCGAAUGAGACUGCGAAGCUUGGUCGAGGAAGAAAACCGAUCAGCCGCCUUGGAAGCCUUAGUUGACUUCCAAGACAAGGCUAAAGAAAAGCUUAAACGGUACCAUGAAAGAUUGCGAAGACAAUACAAUAUCGCGGUGGUACCACAAUGAAUUCUGGUGGGAGACCUGGUGCUCAAAACGGCAACUCAAGUCAUGAGGGGGACCCCAACCACCAAAUUUUACCCAAAUGGGAAGGCCCGUAUAAGGUACGAGAGAUCUCCGAAAAUAGGUAUUGCAAAAUAUCUUGUGUGGGAUCAGAUGCUGUCUCAGGCCUAUUAAACUUGAAGUGGGUAAAGAAAUAUUACACAUGAGAAGAGCAUCACAAAAAGUUAUACUUUCAACUUCAAAAGUAAUCGAGGCACUUGACUAACAACCCUCGGAAGUUACACUUUCAACUUCAAAAGUGAUCGAGGCACCUGACUAAGUACAGCCCUCGGAAGUUACACUUUCAAACUUCAAAAGUGAUCGAGGCACCUGAUUAACAACCCUCGGGAGUUACACUUUCAACUUCAAAAGUGACUGAGGCACCUGAGUAUAAGCCCUCAACCCCGAAAGUUACACUUUAUCUUUAAAAGUGGUAAACUUUAUGCUUUAUUCGACAAAAGCAAGAAAGUUACACUUUACCUCUAAAAGUGGAAAACGUUAUUCUUUCUUCGACAAAAGCAAGAUUUACUGAUAAAACGUUAUGCUUUUCGUUAAAAGCAAUUUGAUUAUCAAUAAAUUGAUAAACUUUCACUUAUACUUGAAUGUUUUUUUUAAUUUCUUAAAAAAAAAGUCAAGUGUUGGUUUGUGAAAUAUGUAUAUAUAUAUAUAUACAUGUUUUUGAUAAAAUUCAUGUUUACUUGUUUAUAAUACCUAUUGUUGUCUUGGAAUAUUAAUUUGAAUAACUUGAGAUUUAAUGAUAAAUAUUGAGUUGUAAGGAAUUAUUCAAAUUAAAAGAAAUCAACAAGGUAAAAGAAACUACAUUUUGAUAAAAUGAAAUAUGUGUAAAUGAGUUUCUAAACAAGAAAUCGAAAAAAAACUACUACAACAAGUUAUGAUCUAAAGGCCAAUACAUAUCAAGAUGAAGUGGAGGCACAGCUAAAGCUUCUAAGUCAGCAACGGCAGCAUCUCGAAUCUUAAGAUUUGCAGCUUUCAGUUCCCUAACCUGUCGGGUAGUUGACUCUAAGUCCCGUCGCUGGCGCUCUACCUCCCGAAGCUGGCCCUCUAAAUCUUGAGAUUUGAUCUUCAAUUUGUUGGCAACUUCGUCAAGCUCAGUAAGCUGAAUUGAAAAGGAUUCAUCUUCACACUUACGUACAGCAACCUCUGAAUGAAAUGAAACAAGAGCAAAACUUGACUUAAGAAGAGCCAACCUAUCACGGAAAGGAGACAUGUCAAAACCUAUGGCUGUAAGAUCGUCUACAAUAUCGAUAAACUUCUUCAAGUCCUCAACUCGCAAAGAAUAUAAAGAAAGAGUGUGCAACCCAAGAAUAAGGCCUGCGAGCUGAUCUAGGAAGAAGAGUUGGGCGGAAGUUUCCUUAAUAAUCAAUCGGUCAAGUAUCCGCAGGAACCGAGCUAGGAGACGCUCCAAAUUUUUUAGACUAGAAGAUGAUAUCUGGAAACCCCUCCAAGAAAUAAGAUCCCCCUUUGGAUUGAAGGAAGCUCCGGUAGGAACUACUUUAGAGGUCAUCAUGGAAUUUAUUAAGCAAGAGAUGGAGGAGCAGAGGGAUGCUGUAGGGCUGAAGAUUCCUUGAAGCCUUGGUCACCUGGAGGAUAACCAAGGUCACUAUAUGGAGAAUGGGAAACAUCCGGAUGGAGAGCAUCAAAUAGAGCGAGUGCCUCAACAGGAAAAGGCAAAUCUUUCAUCUUCUUGCUCUAAAAAACAAAAUGUCAAAGCACAAUAUAUUCAAGACAAAUCAUAUGUUGAUUAAAGAAGGAUACUCACAAUAUAGUCAAUGGAAAAGGAGUCGGGAGAUGCCACAGAAAGGAGAAUGUUAUUCAACCCACCCAAAGUUUUAUCAACAAUGCCCUCCCGAGCAAUCACAAACUCGGUAGAAUCCUUCUGGGGAGGAUGAACAUCACCAAUAAUUUCAGAAUGAUUCCCCCUCGGGGAAGUAAGAGCCUCAUCAACAUCUUCACACUCAUCAUGAGGAGCAGACAUAGGAAGGUGUGAAAAAAUAGCUGUAUCACCCACAGCAGGAAUCGAUCUCACAUCGGAUAAGGUGUCCUUAGCAUCAAGACUAACACAAUCAUCGCGAGGAGUAGAUGACUCAAUAUCAAUAAGGACAGGUUGGGGAGGCUCACAACUAGUGGAAACCGCCGCGGCCACCUCAUUGGCAGUACUACACAUAAGCCCAAGAGGAACGUCAUCAUCAUCAGCAUCUUCAUCGACCACGGUAACCUAAAAAAAAUAAAAAAUAAAAAAAUAUAUAAAGGAAAAAAUUACUCAACGAUAUGUGAAAGUAGUAAUAUAAGGGAUGCAAGAAAAACGAGAAUAGUACAGCAAAAAAAAAAUUACCAAAUUCCUACUGCGCUUCUUGGUCGAAUCCUAAGCUGCCGGUAUACUAGAAUCAGCACUAUCAAGAGGGCGUUUUGCCAAUGGCUUUAUGAUAAGCCUAAUAGGAGGAGGACGACUGACUGGAACCACAUCAGAAGCAAUAGGAGGCACUACUUCAGAAUCAGUAGUAAUACCUGCUCUCCUUUUAGAACGAGUAACUCUCAUUGCCUCAGCAUCAGAGGAUCCCUGGGGAGGAACUGGAGGAGACACCCGAAGUGGAGCUCGUGGUGGAAGACUCCUGGAAGUGGUGGUGGCUUGUGAGGGAAGAGUAGUUAGAUCAUCUCGAAGAGGAAUAUCUACUAACUAAGGGGGAGACGAUUUAGGCAUCAAAAUGUCACGCUCAGCCAACCAACUACUGGCUGGCCAGAGUACUGAUCGAACAUUGGGCUUGGGAGAGCAUAACAGUCGUCCCCGUUAGAGACAUUUCGGAAUAGAAACUGGCAAUGAACAAAUCAAGGUAUCAUCAUCCCAUCUUUUAAGAUUGACCUGCCAAUAAUUAUGUUUGCAAGUAGUAUAUCGCCCGCUCCGGGAAUUAUCUGGUAUGACAAAAGGAAAGGGUCUAUAAGGAUCACUUGGUAGCCUCGAAAAUUCCCAUGUAAAAGAUGGGGAAGUACAGACGAAAUUGAGAAGAGCAGCCUCAUAAUUUCCCCGGCAGGUGUGACCGAAAGGGCGUUCCUGGUCAUAUCCGAAUUGUCUCAUGACCCUGUGAGGAGAAUACAGUAUAGUGCCAAAACUAUUAUUCUCAAGGAAAUAGGGAAGCUCUGUAGACCGAAGGAAAAUGAACCAAGACAGUGCAGAACCACUCAAGCUAGUCUUGUUGAGGCAUGAGUAGGUACGAAAUUUGUGCUUGUAAAAAUGAGGUACAUGACCGCAACCCUCUGAAGUAAUGGUGUAGGGACGGGCAGUGAAGCAUGAAUAAUCAUCAAGGAAAAACCGCAAAUCAGUACUAUCAAGGCUAAAUCGGUGAUCAAUCCAACGUGCCAUACGAGGAAUGACGUUGAGUGAUGAAAAAAGAGGAGAUUUCUUCUUUUGCUUAGAGGAAUAGCCCGAAAAGCGUUCGAAAGGAAAAAUCUGAAGGAAGGAGCAUGAAAGGAAGCAAUUGACAUCGUACCUGAAUGAAUAAAAGUAAAAUAAGAAAAAGGUUAAAGGAAAAGAAGUGCGGUUGUAAAGAAAAAUAUAUAUAUGAAAGUGAUUACCUCCCAACGGAUUCUUUCAUGGCAAGGGUUGUUUCGUCUAGGCGGCGAUAUAAGCUCCCUAGGAAGAGAGAAGCAAGGGGAAUCUCUGAGCCCUGGGAUAAUAACGCUGCCAAGCUGAACAUACGGGCAGAAGGACCGUCUGUGGGAGAUCCAGGGAAGAGAAAGCGGGACAAGCACAUAGCCAGCUAAGCUGCCAGAAGAAAAGGACAAGUCUCUCCACGGAGGGCAAGAACAGUUUUGUCAUGAAUAGAGCUGUCCCACUGGUUGGUCUUGUAGUCACGGAAGAAGUAACGUACCCAGGAUAACCAAGAAUUUUCUGCCGACUAGAGGUCUCGAAGUCCGGAAGGAGUAUAUCGCCCUUGAAACGGGAAGUGAAGUGGGAAGAUUGCUUGAAGGCUUCUAUCAAGUAGUUAACACAGUCGUCAUCUCUAGUGGACAUGCUAGAAGGGUCGCAUGAGUUCGAGGCAACAAUGGGAAGGCUACAAGAUGUAAUUCAAAAAAUAAAUAUAUAUAUGUUUCAGAAAAAUGAGAAUGAAUUAAAGGAAUAAGAGAAGAGAACUUACUGAUAGAGGGCAUAAACAUACUCUAGAGUAGGGGUGAAUUCCCCCUAGGCAGUGAUGAAUGUGCAAGUAGAGGAACACCAUCGGGAGAUCAACACAGUAAGAGCGUUAUGGUCAUGGUGGAUACGUAGGCCUCUACACAGUUGAACACAACGAAAGAUGCUCACAUUCUUGAGUAUUCCCACGUAUUCAGCGUUUCCAAGGAUCUCAUCGGUCCAAUCCUGCCAUCCUUGAAGGCGAUUAGAUGAAUCAGACAGGAAGCGAAGGGGACUGAAAGGGUAUUCUUGCUUCUCUAUGCAUAGGCGGGGAAUGUAAUUGGCAUGGGGGAAGUCAUCCCAACCUCCACAAUAUGGGGCAUACAGAAACAAGCCUUCUUUCUCUGGUGGAGGAAAAGUCGCACGAUCAUAGUCUUUAACUCUAUCCCAAAAGACGUCAGAAGGACCAAAGAAGGGAGCUCUCCCCCAAUCGGUGAUGAAGGGGGACUCCUUGGCAGUUCGUGGUCCUGCAGAGCAUUCAGGUGAAAGGGCCUACAAGCAGGGGGAAGUUCAUUAUAACAAUUCUAAAUAAAGCAAAGGAAGGAUGUCGAGUAUAGUAUUUGAGCUUGAAGUACUCACCAUGGCAAAGAGGAAAAUUUGAGAGUAAAGCUUCAAAAUACCUGAAAAGAAGAAGAAACAAUGUCAGAGAAGAAUCAAAAUCACAAUUAUGAAAGAAAAAAUUUUCUGAAAUUUUUUCGAAAAACAUCAAAUGGCCAAAAGGCACCCUUCGGAGCUAAUUUUUGACUUAUUCUGGUAUGUGUCAUGGCCGCUGGCCAUGACAUUUGUAGUACUUGGCGAUACGGUCGUUUUGAUAUAUUAUGGGCCCUGAAACUCCAAACAAGUCAAAAGUUACGAUUCAAAUAGUAACUGCACCUCCUAAACUUCAUUUUUUCGCCUAAACAGUGAUCAUCCCCUAGGGUUUGGCCCCCUAGGGUUCGGUCAAAAGGGGUGGUUUCCCAUAUGCAAAAAAAAAAUAGUAAGGUUCGGCUCCUAUAGGGUUCGGCCCCCCUAGUGGGUGUUCCUUCACCCUUAAAAAAAAGGCGGCUUUCCCCCUAUAGGGUUCGGCCCCCUAGGGUUCGGCCCCCUAGGGGGAUUCUUUUGUAUACCUUUGAUAUUCUGAUACUCCACAAAUCAACUUUUUAGGGCGAACGCUUCUUAAUUUGACGCGACAAAUAUUGUAUCUUCCUUUAUUAUCCGAGGGAGCCCUACCGAGAUAUGAUCAAGGUAACGGGGCUCGGAAGACAAAAGAAAGGUUACAAUGGCCUGAAAAGAAAAGUAAAUGAAACAAGUCAGGAGGAAGUUCUAUAGAAAGCAUUCAAAUAAACAGAAAAUUGAAAGCAAAGGCAAGAAAAUGAAAUGGAGCCCUAAGGGUUCGGGUUCAACCCCUAGGGUUCGGCCCUAUGGGGAGGAAUUCUAUUUUCUUACCUCCUGUUCGGAAUAAAGAAUGUUUCCUUGUUGCCUCCUUGAUGUUUUUCCAAGCUCACAAAAAGAGAGGGAGUCCAAGAUGAAGCAAGACAAAAAGAAAAGCCUAAGUGACUUGGGAGAUGUAUAUAUAUGUAUAUGCAUAUAUUCUCCAAGUAUGCUUGCAACAGAAAAGGAAGCAACCUCUAUUUUCCUAUUAAGAAAAAUUUCGAAAUAUAAAGAUAAGUUUAUUUGAGCUUACUUCUAAAUAAAAAAUAUAUAUAUAUAUGGAAAUUUCGAAAUUUGUAUAUAUUUUAAUGGAAUUUCGAAAAAAGAAAAGAAAAGAAAAUAAAAUAAUAAUAAUAUAUUUUUGAUAUUUUAUUCCUAACAAUAGGGAAAUUUUGAAAUUAAUAUAUAUAUAUAGGGUUAAGUUCAGAUGACCACCUGGGGUUUGGGCGGUUUCCCACUUAACCACCUGUAGUUAGUAAAGCUACAUUUAAACUCUCGAUUUUUUGAGUUGAAGUGAAUAACUGCUUUCUGUCAUAACUCUGUUACUUAAGUUGGAUAAAGACUUAAAUACCCUCUUUAUAUAUAAACGACAGAUGAACAAAAUGCAUACAUUUACAUCAAAUCAAGCAAUUCAAGAACUCUUCAAACUAAAACAAAAUAAAAAAGAACAUGUGUAUACCAAAUUACCAAUCAAAAAACGAAAAAUAACAACUGAAUUUGAACAACGAAAUUCUGGGUUUCAACAAUGUCAUAAUUUCAUCAACAUUCUCCCAAAUGGGUCUUCAAAAUUAGAAGAAAAAAAGAAGAGGAAAUCUUCAGGAACAAAUGCAAACAUAAGAUGAUCUUUAGGAAAUCUUUUUCAUUACAUGCCUGUUAGAAGCUGGCUCUAAGAUCAUGAGCUCCCUUAUGAUGAACACCAACAGGCCAUAAAAUGAAGCUCCCUGCAUUUUUUUGAACUCUCCAAACAAUAAGUGACUUCGACAUACUAUAUACAAAUCUAAACAAUUGGUAAGCUUUAACUUGAGAUGAUCAAUGUAGACUGCAAGAAAAUUUUUUUCAAGAGUUCAUUACUCGCAAGGAAAUCCACCAUGUUUAGCUAGGAAACUAUAACAAACAGAACCUUUUAAUAAGAUCCACAUAUGACAAGAAACCUUCAUGUUAAUGAAAAUUCCUCUGCUAAUUUCUAUCAUUUCAUAAAUCAGGGUUAUUGCACAUAAAACCUCCAACGUGAUAAGAAAUACAGACAAUAGUACAGCCAAAAAAAACUAAUUUAUAGUCACCAGUGAUACAAGAUUCACCAUUUCUUUCUAAUACCCAAAAGUAUUUUACACUCGCAAAAUAUCAAUUUUGACUAUUGGCUUUCUCAUUUUGCACAUACUUCAGCACUCCAUAGGCAACUGUUCUAGUAAAAAAAUAAGAUAAUUGUCGGGGUAAAAGAUGGGUAAACAUACUUCACACAGAAAUUAUCCCAUUCUUCUGUGAUUGUGAUUUGGCAGUCAUUGCGAUUUGGCACCAUUUGACACCCAAAAAAUAGCUAAAAUUUUAAGCUGGUUAAAACUUAAAGGAAACCAACAAGGUACACACUUAACAGCCUAAUACGCCUCACAUGACUACAAAUCAAUUACGUCAAAAAAAUUAACCACAACAUAAAUCUCCCCAGACUUAUUCCAACAAGAAGAUUUGUUUACAGAGAGACCAAAUAUGUUGCUGCUAAAUAUUCCAUUUUUGAGGACUCAUGAGCAAUUCAGGGCUCAGGUAAACAGAUCUUCGACUUGAGAACAGGGGAUGGGCUGACUUCUAAUUUAGGGACAAAGAAAGAAAAGCAAAUGACGUAUAUGCAAAGGCUUUUUCGACAAAGGGUUGUUGGUGGGUGAGGUCAUUAGGAGUGACUUGAGAUCUGCAACUGGAGAGGNNNNNNNNNNNNNNNNNNNNNNNNNNNNNNNNNNNNNNNNNNNNNNNNNNNNNNNNNNNNNNNNNNNNNNNNNNNNNNNNNNNNNNNNNNNNNNNNNNNNNNNNNNNNNNNNNNNNNNNNNNNNNNNNNNNNNNNNNNNNNNNNNNNNNNNNNNNNNNNNNNNNNNNNNNNNNNNNNNNNNNNNNNNNNNNNNNNNNNNNNNNNNNNNNNNNNNNNNNNNNNNNNNNNNNNNNNNNNNNNNNNNNNNNNNNNNNNNNNNNNNNNNNNNNNNNNNNNNNNNNNNNNNNNNNNNNNNNNNNNNNNNNNNNNNNNNNNNNNNNNNNNNNNNNNNNNNNNNNNNNNNNNNNNNNNNNNNNNNNNNNNNNNNNNNNNNNNNNNNNNNNNNNNNNNNNNNNNNNNNNNNNNNNNNNNNNNNNNNNNNNNNNNNNNNNNNNNNNNNNNNNNNNNNNNNNNNNNNNNNNNNNNNNNNNGAGGGGGGAAGACAGAAGAACAUACCCGAUUCUUGCUCUUCUAGCUCUUGAACUUGUGGAUCUUCCUGAUUAGGGUCUGAUUUUUUUGGGUUUUGGGGAUCUUGAUUUUCUAGGGUUUGUGGUGAUUGAGGUUGAGAACGUGUCGUCGCAGGUGAGAAAAUGGCAAGCGUAGAGAGAGGAUGUAGGUGAGAGCUGGGUUGGAGAAUAAGGGGAGAAGAGAGGAAGAAGAAGGGUAUUUCAGACAUUUAAAAUGUUUUUUUAAUUGUUAUAGCCUUUUUCACGCGCUUUUGGCGUUUGACAUACACGCACAGUUAAGUUGAAUGGAAAAUGUGACAUUUUCAAUUCAACUCAAAAAAUCGGGAGUUUAAAUGUAGCUUUACUGACUACAGGUGGUUAAGUGGAAAACCGCCCAAAACCCAGGUGGUCAUCUGAACUUAAUAUAUAUAUAUAUAUAUAUAUAUAUAUAUAUUGAAUAUUUGAUUUCCUUAAGAGGAAAGAUAUUGCUUUACAAAAAUCAAAUAAAGGAAGAUUUUAUUUUACUUCCAAAAUAAAUAAGAUUUUAUUAGAAGAUAUUUGAUUUGAUUCUUAAAUAAAAAGAAAAAUUUGAUUUACCAAAAGAAAGAUUUUAUUAGAUUAAAUUUUAUUUGGUAAGAUUUGAUGAUCUUCCUUGUUUUAAUUUCCAGGAAAUAAUAAAGAAACAAAUAUUGGGCAAGAUAUGGAAAGAUUUCAGAAGAUUUUUCAAUAUGUCCAAGGAAGAGCCUUGCUAGGUUUUGCCUCCCUAGGGUUUAACUCUAAAGGUUUGGCUUCCUAGGGGUUCCCUCUUCUAGGAUCAUUGUCUUCAAGACCUGUAAAGUGAAGUCCCGCAAAAUCGUUCAAAGGCUUGCAGUUUUCUUGUACGAUCGUCUAUUUGGAAAUGCGACUCUCGCGCUGGGGGAAAAUGUAGGUCCAAGUGUAAAAUUAGGGUUCACAUGACCUAAUUGAAUUAAAUACGCAAUUAGGGUUCCACGACCUCAUUAAAUGUACAAAUUAGGGUUCACAUAACCUAAUGGAAUGAAGACGAAAAAAGUCAAAAAUAAAUGUGCUAGACCCGGGAGAAGCCUCCACAUGUCCCGAGGCAGAAGACUCGUGGAGGCGGCUCGUUUUGGGAAUUGAUUGAGGGAUUGGAUUGGUGGAUAGAAGGACAGGGCAAUAUGGGCAUUAUUCUAAUGACUAAAGGGUAUUUCUAGAAUUUCCCUGAAAGCAUGUGCCUUGCACAUGACUACUUUCUAGAAAAUCCUAUAAAUACCCCUUCCAUUCCAUUUGAAAAGGGACUUCUCUUCAGACUCAAGACUUGAACUCUUGGAAGAUCAAAGGGACCCUUUUGGUGACUUAAAGGCUUGGAGAUUCCACCUAAAAGGACUAAAGGGGUUUGAACAUUUCUCUCAACUCGGAGGACACUCAAGAAGGCUCUUGGUAUCCCAAUAAUCCUAACACGAUUCUCGAAUACUAGGAGUUCUGCCACACGUCAUUGGAGUAAUUGCCCACCUGUUGUUCUCCCCUCUUCAAUCAAUCAACCAAUUCUGUGUUCUUCGUGGAUUUCUCUCCUCCUCAGCCAACACGAAACCCUAACCCUAGCAAGGCACGAUUUCCUUUCCCACAAAAAUUAAAUGGGGUUAAAAUAUAAUUUUAUUGAAAGUCAAAUUGUAGCUAGCUCUUCUUAAUGAGUGCAGAUCCUCUGUCUCCAUUUUCCUGUCUCUUGUGUGUCCCCCUACUUAAAUUUUGACACCUAACUUUUUACUUAACACCAAUUAAUUCUAAAAUUAAAUAAAAGGCCAGAUGUCAAAAUUUAAGUGAAGGGACAUAAGGGUACAGGAAAAAUGGGGACAGAUGAUCUGCUCUCCUUCGCUCUCCUUCUUAUUAACAUAUGCAUACAAACACUACAAGAAAAAUGCCUAACAGCGACCAAUACUAUCAGCGACCGCAUGUCUGGCCGCUGAUAUUACUAGUAGCGACCGAUACCUGCGACCACACCUUAAUCUAGUCGCUAAUUAAUAUCAGCGACCGCGUGCGGUCGCUGAGAGGUCGCUAACACAAAUUUCCCUCAUAAAAUUUGGCACGAAAUGUUGGCGUCAAGGGUAUGUGCGACCAAUUAAUAUCAGCGACCGCGGUCGCUGAUAAAUCCAUGUCAUUAAAAAUUAGCGACCGCAUGCGGUCGCUGAUAGUGGUCGCUGAUCAAACUUAAUUUACCCAGUUUCAGUCAUUCGCAGAAACAGAAACAAAAGAAAAAAAAAAGAGGGAGAUCGAAUAGAGAGAAGGGGGAGAAAAGAAGAAGGAGAAGACGCACGCACGCACGCCACCCACCGCCGCCGCCACUGACAUCGCUGCCGCUGCCCAUAGGCAAACCUAACUAUGAAAGCACUAUCUUAUAUUGCUACUGAAUUUCUCGUGCAAUAGUUUGGGGCAAAGCCAGUUCAUACAAUAAAUUAUCUUAUAUUGCUACUGAAUUUUUGUUUUAAGAGUUAAUUUAGAGCUGAGAUUUGAAUGAAUGAAAAUGAAUUUGGGAUUACUGAAAUUUAUAGCUUCUUAUUGAAAUUGGGAAUAUACUGAAAUUGUUGCAAAGAGUUUUAUGAGAUUACUGAAAUUUUUUAGGUUAAAUUAUUUUUAGGGUUAAUAUGUGUUUAAUAUACUGAAAAUGUGUUUUAAUAUGUGUUGAAAUUGGGAAUAUAUUGAAUAUGUGUUUUAAUAUGUGUUAAAAUUGGGAAAACAAGAUCAACAAAACCACUAUGCAAUUAUAUGCAUCUACUUCUCACCAUAGUGUGGGUUUCACAAAAAGAAAAAAACAUAAUAAGCCAUACUCAUGCUAAUUGAUGUUAAUUAUAAAAUUCAUUUAUAAUGUAUGUUUGUUAAAACUAAAAUUCAUGUAUAAUUGUAUAUUGGUAAUGUUUAGAUUGAUAUUAUAUUGGUAAUGUAUAUGGGUCUGAAUUUUUUACUGUUUUAAUUUGCUUUCAAUCGUUAUUGUUUUGGUCUUAUUGUAUUGGAAAUUUGUAUAUUUCUCUUGGUUUGUGUCUUGGGUGCCUAGAAAUGUCCAUAUAUGCAUGUCGUUGUGCAUGUGGCUAGUCCAUAUUGUAGGGGAGACUCUGGCGAAUUUUUUUUAAGUAUUAUAAGUAUAAGUUUGAAAAUGUUCAUAAGUAUUAUAAGUAUAAGUUUGUAGUUGAAUUUUUUUUACCUCUUUUAUUGUGAAAAAUUUUAGGUUUAAAAUAUAUAAUAGCUUUUGGUUAUAGGAAAGCUAUGCCCAUUAUUGAAAUAAAAUGAGAAAUUGAAUUGUUUGAAUAUGCGAGUAGCUUAAUUUUAGUAAUUCUCAGUAAAUUGGGUUCUGUUUAUAUAGAGAGCUUGGGUGUUGCUUAUCAAAUAUAUUGGUGAUCCACUAGAGCCUAUUAAGGGGCUGUUGGAGCUGAUGGGCUGGAAUUGGGGCCACGAGGCCACGCCAAGCUUAGCCAAGCCUCACGGGGCCAAGCCAAGCUUGGUUGUUAGCAUGGUAAGCUAUUAGGGGGUUGUUAAGCCAAAAUAGGCAGUGUUAGGGAAUUGUUAGUGCAACAGAGAAGGUAACUAGACACACUUGGUCAAUAAAAAGACUGUUAAUCAUUCGUUAACAUCAAGUAUGCUUAAAUGUUAAUCAUAUGCUUACAAGUAUACUCAAGUCAUAUGAUUACAAGUAUAUAUGCUCUCAAGUCAUAUGCUUACAAGUAUGCUUAAAUGUUAAUCAUAUGCUUACAAAUAUGCUCAAGUCAUAUGGUUACAAGUAUGCUUAAGUCAUAUGCUUAGAAGUAUGCUUAAAUGUUAAUCAUAUGCAUGCUUACAAGUAUGCUCAAGUUAUAUGAUUACAAGUAUGCUCAAGUCAUAUGUUAACAUUUAUAAUGUUGUCUGUAGUAGGUACCGUGGAAUCAUGGACCUCUAUUCAGACCGUAGUUGGAUGGUACGACGAAAGUCAAGUGCCCAGAUAGAUGCUACAACUGAAUUUAGAGCUGGUUGCCAAGUAUUUUUGGAGUAUGUGUAUAGUUACCCGGAAUGUAUGAAUGGUAAGUUGCAGAUACGAUGUCCAUGUUUGAAGUGUAAAAAUGUAAAUUAUAUGGAUAGAGACAUGGUAAACUAUCAUUUACUUGUUUUUGGGUUCAUGAAAAAUUACGAAGAAUGUUUGUGGGGCAGAGAAGAGAUGGUGGCAUCACACAAGUACACAAUUCGGGCAGUAGUACUCAUCGUAUGAAUGAAAUGGUUCAUGAUAUUGCAAGGCCAGAUUUUGAUUGGGAACAAGGCAGAGAACAACCUAUGAAUUUUGAUGCCAAAGACUUCUUUAAGUUGCUAGACGAGGGUAGCGAGCCAUUGUGGCAUGGUUGCACCAAACACACUACAUUGUCUGUAGUGGCGACAUUACUUAACAUCAAGGCUGAUCACAACAUGUGCCAUGAGUGUUUUGAGUCGCUCUUGAAGGCCAUUAAGAGUAUGUUGCCUGACGGUGAGAAAUUACCUGGUAACUAUUACUUUUAUAAGAAAAUGGUGAAGAAGUUGGGUCUUGGAUACUAAAAGAUCGAUGCAUGUCCCAACGAUUGCAUGUUGUUUUAUAAGAAAAAUGAACAGAUGACAAGGUGCACGUUUUGCAGUCAUGAUCGGUUUAGGCCUAAUAAAGAGGGUGUGACUACAAAAAAAUCAAGUAUACCGUUUAAGAUUCUAAGGUAUUUUCCAAUAACACAUCGGCUAAAAAGAUUGUACAUGUCUUCAAGAACAGCUGAACAUAUGAGUUGGCAUGCGAAAUCUCCAGCUAAAGAUGGAGAACUAAAUCAUCCCGCAGAUGGGAAGGCUUGGAAAGAUUUCAACUUAGCACAUCCUGGAUUUGCAUUGGAACCUAGAAAUGUGAGGCUUGGAUUGUCCACCGAUGGUUUCAAUCCGUUUGGCCACUCAGCUGUUCCGUACUCAUGUUGGCCUGUGAUUGUUACUCCGUACAACUUGCCUCCUUGGAUGUGUAUGAAACAGCCAUACUUGUUUCUUUCACUCGUGGUUCCUGGUCCUAAGAGUCCUGGAAAGAACUUAGAUGUUUACUUGAGACCUCUUAUAGACGAGUUGAAGGUAUUGUGGGAGGAUGGAGUACAGACUUGGGAUGUUGCAACGAAAACAAAUUUCAACCUUAGGGCAGCGGUUAUGUGGACUAUAAGUGACUUCCCAGCUUAUGGUAUGUUAGCUGGAUGGAGUACACACGGGAAGUUGGCUUGUCCGUAUUGUAUGGAGCAUACAAAGUCGUUUAAUCUAUCAAAAGGUCGAAAGCCUUGUUGGUUUGACUGUCAUCGUCGGUUCUUACCGGUAGAUCACCCGUUUCGAAGAAAUAGAGAACACUUCAGGAAAGGGAAAGUAGACAAUGAUAUGCCUGCACCGCGAUUGUCGGGAACGGAGAUGCGAGAUCGUGUGAUGAGAUUGCCGGUUAUCCCAUUUGGUAAGAUUGAUGCCACAAACAUAAUCAAUGGGUUUGGCGAAUCUCAUAACUGGGUUCGGAGAAGCAUCUUUUGGGAACUGCCUUAUUGGUCUACAAAUUUGAUUCGUCAUAAUCUAGAUGUGAUGCAUAUUGAGAAGAAUGUGUUUGACAAUGUGUUUAACACUGUGAUGAAUGUUACGGGGAAGACAAAAGAUAACGAUAAGGCACGUUUGGACAUGAAAGAUAUUUGUAAGCGUCCUGGAUUAGAACUUUAUGAAUCUCCUAAUGGUAAGAUUGUCAAACCGCAUGCAAGGUACACAUUGUCCAAAAAGCAAGUUGAAGAUGUGUGCACAUGGGUUAAGUCUCUGAAACUACCAGAUGGAUAUGCGUCAAACAUUGCAAGGUGUGUUACGGGUGGGAAAUUGCAAGGGAUGAAGAGUCAUGACUGUCAUGUGUUCAUGGAGAGACUCAUGCCUAUAGCAUUUCGGGAUCUGCUUGAUAAACCAAUAUGGGAUGCUUUGACGGAUCUUAGUCGUUUCUUCAAAGACUUAUGUUCAAAAUCAUUAAAUGAGAAGGACAUGUCUGUACUUGAGAAGAACAUCAUAGAGAUCACGUGUAAACUGGAAAAAAUAUUUCCACCUGUUUUUUUUUACUCCAUGGAGCAUUUGCAAAUCCAUCUUCCCUAUGAAGCUCGUAUUGGGGGUCCAGUUCAAUAUAGAUGGAUGUUCCCUUUCGAGAGGGUGAUGGGAAACCUUACCUGUCGAGGGGUCGAUAUGUGAGGCAUACAAUUUCGAUGAGAUAUCUACGUUUGUCUCAGACUAUUUUCCGGACGAAGUCUUGAAAAGGCCAAUCGAGUAUCGAGACAUGAUGAUGGGAGAAAUGUUAAACUGAAUGGUUGGCUCUUUGUAUUUGGUCUAUCGGGCCGCGCUUAUGGAAAAGGGAAGCGCAUAUUUCUCUCUGAGCAAGAAUUACAUGCUGCACAUACUUACAUUCUUCUCAAUUGCGAGGAGAUUGACGAAUUUGUGAGGUACACAUGUAAACUUGAUAAUUUAUGUUUUAAAUUAAAAAUUUAUUCCAAUAUGUUAAUGUUUAUAACAUGGUAUAGAUUGUACGAUGACGAGUUAAAAGUGAAGCAUCCCGGCAUAACUGAUAAAGAUAUUCAAAUCAAUCGGGAUAAAAAAUUUGCACGUUGGCUAAAGGACAAAGUAAGUUCAAUUUUUAAGCACGUAGUAUAUAUAUAUAUAUAUAUAUAUAUAUAUAUAUAUACUCCAUGUUAACUAUGACUUCAUUUAAGAAGAUAGAGUUUUUGUAGGCUUUGACUGAGGGAUCAACGAUUUCGGCUAAUGUACAAGUCUUAGCUCAGGGACCAAGUCAGCCGCAAUGGUUAUAAAAUAAAUGGUUGUGAAUUUCACACAAAGGCAUAUGGGCGCGGUAAAAGAACAACGAACUCUGGAGUGUGUGUCCAAGGAGAUUGUUACAAUGAGCUUAGUCGUGCCUUUUAUGGGGAGUUGGAGGAAAUCGUAGAGUUGUCGUACAAGGGAACGUACGGAGGUCAUAUUCACUUGUUCAAGUGCCGUUGGUUUGAUUCAGAAAAAGGGAUACAUGUUGACAGACAUGGAAUCGUCGAUAUUGACCUCCAUAGGUCUGCGUACUCCAACGAACCGUUUGUUUUACCAACUCAAACAGUACAUGUAUACUACACUCCUAUUCCUGUUAGGAAAAUGGAUAGACUGCCUACAGAUUGGCAAGUUAUAAUUCAUACUCCCGCGCGUAGUCGUGUAGAAUUAGUUGAUGGGGAGAUUUACCAAGAGCAGAUGUUUGAUAGUCAAACUAUAAUAAAUAUGGAGGACGACAAUGAAGUAAUCCAGUUAGAUGGUGGAGAUGAACCACAUGAAUUAGAUCCUAAGUCAAUACUUGUGUCAGAUGACAUUGAUACUGAGGAGGAAGAGUUAUUGACUGAAUCUGACACUGAAUCUGAAGCAGAUGAUGGUUAUGAAUCUGCAACACGUAUACAAGAUGAUUCUAAAUCAGACAUUGACACUUGAACAAAUGAAAUGUAUGUUUAGCAUUACAUAUUUUUUAUAUCAUUGUCAUGUUUAUGUACUAAACUAUUUAAAUGCAACUUUUGUUUAUUGUCAUUUUAUAUUCAUAUAUAUACAUGUUUAUAUCACUGUCAUGUUUAUUGUCAUAUAUACAUGUAAUCAAACAUGACUCAUAAUAACAUCUUGAAAUUUAUAAUAUACAGAUGGCUUCUGAAGCAGCGCAGAAAAAGCGCGGCUUGGGUAGAGGGCCUAAUCAUGUGCCCAAGGCCCCUACUAAUCCGAAUGAUCGGAUUCGUAUUCAGAUUCGCCCUCCUCCGAAUAGCACGUACGUCCCGCAUAUAUCAUUUAUAUAUAAGCAUUUAAGAUUCCAUUUAUUGUAUAUUGGUAAUGUUUUGAUUGAUAUUAUAUUGGUAAUGUAUAUGGAUCUGAAUUUUUUACUGCUUUAAUUUGCAUUCAAUCGUUAUUGUUUUGGUCUUAUUGUAUUGAAAAUUUGUAUAUUUCUCUUUGUUUGUGUCUUGGGUGCCUAGAAAUGUCCAUAUAUGCAUGCCGUCGUGCAUAUGGCUAGUCUAUAUUGUAGGGGAGACUCUGGCAAUUUUUUUAAGUAUUAUAAGUAUAAGUUUGAAAAAUGUUCAUAAGUAUUAUAACUUAGAUGUAAAUUGCUUUAAUAUAUGCUAAUUGAUGUUGUAUAUUAUAGUGAUUUUUUAGAUAAUAAGAUCAUCAAGUGCAUAUCACAGCUGUGUUUACAGAAUUGGCCUACACCUGUGAUUACGUGGGCGAGCACACCUAUCGCCCACAAGGAUGUUGUUUGGGCAGAAUUUCAUGUAUGUUUUUUUUAAUUAUGACAGAUAAUAUUAAUAUAAUAUAAAUAUAAUUAAUAUUCAAAGGAUAAUUAUUUAGUAAUGUUAUUAUUGUUGUUUUAUUUGCAAAAAUGGUAUAGAUGGGAGGACGCACAUGCUUCAAUGAUACAGACAUUAUUCUGGCAGAAGUGCGCGGUCCGCACCAAAGACAAUUUGAAUAAAGAAAGACAAAAGCCCUUCACAAUGCCGAGAUCGACCAUCCAGGCCAGGGAGAAGAUUACAUGCACGAGCAUAGCCCCUGGUGGUGCACCCAGGCCAUAUGGGGUGAGAUGUGUACCCAAUGGAGAGCUGAAAGCUGGGUGAAAAGACAAAAGUCUGCCGCCACCAACAGAUCCUCGGGUGUACCCGAUGGCGAAAAGGCUAAAGGGACAUACAAGGGAGGUAGUAUUUCACAGUUGCAGCAUAUCACUGCCAGGGUACGUAUUUACAAGUUUUAAUAUGUUUACAAUCAUGAAUUGUAAAAAAUAUAUCAUAUUUUUACUUAGUAAUAUUAUGAUAUUUUUUGUAUAGGAGUCUUAGUCUCAAGGUCAGCCUAUCCAUUGGUUGGAUGUGUACGUGGCCACCCGUGAUGGUCUGCCUGAGGCUUUCCAGAUAGCGGUAAUAAAUGUUAACAACUUGAUCUUGUUUAUCAAUGCUUACAGAAUUAAUUUAUUUUUAACUAUUUAAUUGUUAACAUGAUGACAAGACACUUAUAAGUGUUUAUUGAAUGAGCGUUAUCCUGAAGGCACUCCACGUCCGUUUAUCGAUCAAGAGUUGUGGGAGAGGGCGUCUGUUGUGAAGAAGAACUACAUUAAAGGUCAAGGACAACGACGACGCCCAUCCUUCAGUGGCUCAGACUGCUCUUUUACCCAGUCUACACAGUCAUCGAGCCAUCCAGCUGUUCAUACUCCGGCUGACUGAGUGCUGAGGAGUUAGCUGAAGUAGUAGUGGCAGCAGCAGCAUCACAACACGGGGAUAGCGACGAGGUAUAAAAUCAAUUUGUUGUAUAUAUUGUCGUAAUAUACCAAUAUUAACAUAUAGUAUAUAUUUGUAACUUGUUUUAUUAUUUUGUUAAUUACAGGGUAAUCAAGGAGGUGGUGAUGCUUGACGUACAUGGUUUAGAUUAGUUUUGUAGUUAUAGUAUAAGCUUGUACUUGUAUAUUCAUUCUUUGGAUGUUUGUAUGUUACUUAAACAAGUUUUGAAAUGUUAUUAUAUUUAUUCAAAUCAUAUUGGUUUUUAAAGGUUUAUAUACUAGUUUGGUGUAUGUAUUGGUGGACGAUGGAUGUUUAUAUUAUUGUGUAUGCUGUUGUUGGGUAUGUGUGUUAGGAUAAAGCAGAUACAAAACAGGUACAGGUUUUUGAAAAUUUUGCAAAACAUCAAAAAUCUGUUUUUUAUUUUUUUUCCAUAUUAGCGACCGCAUGCGGUCGCUGAUACCGGUCGCUGCCACGUGGACCACGUCAGCUUUGACCCUGGACCAUGUUGAUUCAGCUUAGCGACCGAAUUUGUUAUUUCGGUCGCUCAUAUCGGUCGCAGAUGUGUCGGUCGCUAAUAGUGGUCGCUGAUGUGCAUCCCAGCGACCAGAAUUUGUGCGACGACUAUUAGCGACCGCAUGCGAUCGCUGAUAGAUAUCUGCGACCAUCAGCGGUCACUGAUAGGCGGUCGCUGAUAAACUUUUUUCUUGUAGUGCAAUCUGCAUGCAUGCAUAUAAGUUACCGAAUUAACUGAACCAUGUCUAGCUAGAAACUAUUUUUAAACUAGUACUAUAAGUUACACUAUCAGUGGAGGACAACUAUUAUAGAUGUGGAUUACAUAAUUAACUUCUUAUUAUAAGGUUUGCCAAUAUUACAAGUUAAUUGUAGGCUAAUUAAAGCAAACUAUUCAAGAUGCAUGGAUCUCACCACCAUUUUAUUACAAUUAAGGGUAAUGCAGAACGAGGUGGUAUAAAAGAGGGAAUCGCAUGGGUGAUGCUGAUGAAGUAGUGGGUGUGGGUGGCCAGGUGGGGGGGGUGGAACAACUAAAAAGUAGAAGAAAGAAGGUUUAGCUAGCUAUUAUUGGCAUUGGAAAGAAGAUGAGAAUAAUGGAAAGAAAAGGUAGGGUUAUGGAAAUGCAUGAGAUUCCCUGAUGACAUAUGCGAUCAAUUAAUUAGAUAGAAAGAGAGAAAAAGAGUAGGGAAUAGAAGAUAACCUUUUGGUUUGUCUGGUUGUGCUGCAGGGACGUAUGAGAUAAAAAGAGGCAAGCAGACGGUCUCUUUUAGUAGGCAAAUGGUAUGUAUCAUACCUUAACCCUGCAACUUAUAUCUACUUUAAAUUUGCAUUCGAGCAGUAAUUAGUUUUUAACAGUUUAUUAAUUUGGACAAUUUUAUAAAUAAGAAUUAGUUACAUCCAUAUAAUUAUAAGAGAGUUAUAUUUCUACUUACAAUCUUUGUUAUACAAAUAUUUUAUAAUUAUAACUUUCUAAUUGUACACGUACAACUCAUUUCUAUAAGAUUGAUCAAUAAACAGUCCAAAUAAAACCAGCUUCUUAGAAUCAAGAUCCAUCUACUAAUUUCUAAAAGACUGGAUAUACCCUAAUACCCAUAGUCUGAUAGUCAUUCUUUUCAUUAAUCCCUAGGACCACACACCACCACUUCGUAUCUCUAGCUCCUUUAAAGAUGUUGAAUAUACUUUCCAUUUGUUAACUUGAGCUUAUGUCUCAUGGAUUUUGGUUCUCUUUAUUAUGAUGGGGCUUUAAAAGGUUAACAUCUUGUUUGAUUGAUGGAUGUGUACUAUUUGCAUGAUAUACAUUAUUGGUUAACGUCUUGUUUGAUUGAUGGAUGUGUACUAUUUGCAUGUUACUUAACAUGUUCGUACGUGGUCGUUGUUAGAAAUACAAGAAAAGAGAGAACUGUGAGUUGAUUGUAAUGUAUUUUUUGUUUGUAUAUAUAUAUAUAUAUAUAUAUAUAUAUAUAUAUAUAUAUAUAGCUGCAUGCAAAACCAAAGGCUGUAAUAUGGGACGGACGGCACAAAAUUUGAGAAAGAGCUAGUCCCGUGGUCAUGAAGAAAAGAAAAAGAAACAAAGAAUUUGAUGAUUCAAACUUUCAAAUUCCUCAUUGUGCAUCUCUUUCAUAACCGUUGACAUUUUCCUAGCUUCUUACUAGUAGUUUCUUUUUUUUUUAAUUCUCCUAGUCUCUUUUCCCCCUUUAUUUCCCUUCUUUCUUUCCUUUUUGUCCUUCUGUCCCGGUCCACAUUGCACCAGCAUAUGGCACAAACACAAACACACACCAUCAACUUUAUAUAUAGAGAUACUCACGCUUACUAUAUAUAGCUAGGUUUUACAGGCCUGCCCCAUCUACCGGCUUUGCAAAAGUUUACAUUAAUUAAUUACGUACUACUACUACUACUACUUUGUAUUUUUAUAAUUUUUUUUCUCUCUCACCCUUAGUACCUCAGGGGAAAAGGAUUUCUCGAAAAUUGAUUUGUACUUCAUGUACUUAAGUGGGAAUUUGAGAAAGUACUUUGUAUUUUUAUAAUUUUUUUUCUCUCUCACCCUUAGUACCUCAGGGGAAAAGGAUUUCUCGAAAAUUGAUUUGUACUUCAUGUACUUAAGUGGGAAUUUGAGAAAGUACUUUGUAUUUUUAUAAUUUUUUUUCUCUCUCACCCUUAGUACCUCAGGGGAAAAGGAUUUCUCGAAAAUUGAUUUGUACUUCAUGUACUUAAGUGGGAAUUUGAGAAAGUGAGGGAAAGACAAUUCCCUAUACAAUACAAGUGAAUUAAACCAACUUAUUUACCAAUGCUAUUUUAUAAAUAAAUAAAUAAAAUGAUACCGAUGACCCAUUUUAUUUUUAUAUAUAUUUGAGUUUAACAAUAAAAAUAAAUACAUUUUAGCUAAUGUCAUGAUGGAUUGAAGAUAUACGUACGUACCUGAAUCAGAUAUGUCCAUAAUCUAGAAAAUGAUAUAUUCUCCCUUUAAUAUUAUAAAUAUUUAUGAAAGUAUCUAUCACAAUAUAUACGACAAAUAUAGUAAGAUUCAUAUAUAUAUAUAUAUAUAUAUAUAUAUAUAUAUAUAUAUAUAUAUAUAUAUAUAUAUAUAUAUAUAUAUAUAAUUUAGUACUGCCCAAGGCCAUUGAUCCUGCAUCGAUUCUGAUUCUACAACCAUUGCUCAUUCCAAUCCAUUCAAAUUCAGAAAAAAGAUGUAUCAUUAUAUUAAAAACAAAAAAUAUAACAAAAGGGAGAAUAAUAAUAACAUACUCCUAACAGCACAAGAAAAUUUAAAAUUAACACAUAAUUGUAACAAAACUUGAGAGUAACAGUACUAAAUAAAAACAUAAAAUUCCUCGCAUCUUAAUUUGUGAUUUCAACAAUUCCCCCAUGUUUUUUGCGAGGCAGCUGGCGGCUGACCUUCAGCUGCAAAUCCAUCAUGAGUAGUAGUCCUUAACAGUGGGUGGACAUACGUAGGGAACUCUACGCCCCUGGUGAAGGAUAGCAGAUUCCUUCCAUUCACGUUCACGUUAACGUUCACAUCAACAUUCCCAUUCCCAUUUCCUCGGUCUCCGGUCAACGCCAGAAAGUCUCUGGUCGGACCGCUGUUGUGAUCACUCCUCUGCUGCCACGUGGCAAAGUUUCCCAUUUGGUAAUCAGCAGGGAUUCCGGCAGUGACGUGACCCAGGCCGCCCAGGUCCAUCCGGCUCAUGGUGGAUGGCACGUGACCAGUAGGUUGUGCACCCGCCGUCGAAGCCUUCUGGAGUAGUGCAGUGGCAGAGAGCAGGUGGGCCGCUGCUGAGCUGGCAGGAGGAGGAGGAGGAGGACUAUGGAAGGGUGACGUCAUCAUCAAGAAGUUCUUGUAAGAGGAGGAAGGUGGUGGAGGUUCUUGGUAGAAAAAAAAUGGUGAAUUAGAGAUUGGGAGAUCAAUAUUAUUGUUGAUAGCUUCAGGCUUGAUAUUGAUGAUGUGAUUAUUAUGGUGAAGAAUUGCCGGAAUAGGGUUAGGGUUUUGAGGAGGUGGUGGUGGUGAUGGGUCCCAGGUGUUGAGGGAGAUGUGGAUUGGUGGGUUUUGAAAGUAGUCAUGUUUUUGUUCUUCUUGCUGAUGCUGGUUGAGGAGAGAGAAUAGUUGGUGGUGCUGCUGCUGCUGCUGCUGCAGACUGAGGGGUUGAGGAGGAGGAGGAGGAGUUGGAGUUGAUGAUGAUGACGUUAAUAUUGGGACGACAUUAGUUGCUGCUGCUGCUGCUGCAGAGAGUCUGGCACUUUCUUCAGCUAAUGAAUCACAGAAUGCUCUGUGGGUCACGAAGCUAUCCUUUCUGCAUGCAUGCAUGUAAAUUAUGUUGGUUAUGCUCCAAAAUCUUAUGUUUUUGGCAAAGUUCUACAUUGGCUAUUCUUGGAACUCUCAUAGUGCAUAUUAGUACUUGUUGUUAUGUGCUUAGUAACAUGGUUGAGGAAAUAGGGAUGGGCUCGCGCACAUGAGGACGGCUAAGGAAUUGGGCGAAACCAAGCUUGGUUCUCGGGCUUUCGAACAGAAAACCUUAGUGCGUGUGUGCGCGCGAUACGCCCGCGCAGGGGGGGUGCCGAUCCGUAAAAUUUGUGCUUCGCGGGUGUACCCAGGUAGCCCACUGUUUUGAUAAAAUCCCUAAUUUCUUUUUAUACUAUUUACUCCUAGCCCUAGCUGUUUUCCCAAAACGUAAACCUUAAUUAGUUUUACGUUACUGAUUUAUCUCCAACGUUCUUCUAAAAAUUUAUUUCCUUUCAACGUUCGGGUAUUUAUUUUCCCAACAGUCUGGUUCGUUCUUCUUCUUCUAUAUAUACUGUCUCUGUUCUCUGUUCUGUGAUAGAUAUAUAUCAUAUCAGUGUGCUUGUUUUCUUCUUCUCUGUUAUUCUUAUAUUUUCUCUUGAUUGGGGCAAUUCACAAAGACGAGUCCAUAGUCUUCUUCUGCGAGUACACGCAAUCGGAGGCUUGCCGUUGAAUCCUGGAGGGUCAACGUCGUGGAGCUCAACUGUACCGGUUCAUAUAACCAGUGAGGGCGGAAUCACUUUUUAGGACAGUAGCUUUGCUACGCCUCGGCUUCUUUCAUAUAACAGCUAAGUUGUUCCAAUUUGUUCGCCUAAUAGUCUUGUUAAAACUGCUCUUGCUGUUGUUGCUUUGCUACUGCUAUUGCACUGCUUCUGCUACUGNNNNNNNNNNNNNNNNNNNNNNNNNNNNNNNNNNNNNNNNNNNNNNNNNNNNNNNNNNNNNNNNNNNNNNNNNNNNNNNNNNNNNNNNNNNNNNNNNNNNNNNNNNNNNNNNNNNNNNNNNNNNNNNNNNNNNNNNNNNNNNNNNNNNNNNNNNNNNNNNNNNNNNNNNNNNNNNNNNNNNNNNNNNNNNNNNNNNNNNNNNNNNNNNNNNNNNNNNNNNNNNNNNNNNNNNNNNNNNNNNNNNNNNNNNNNNNNNNNNNNNNNNNNNNNNNNNNNNNNNNNNNNNNNNNNNNNNNNNNNNUUUCUAAAAUUGAACGGUUUGAUGGUAAUAAUUAUAAGAGAUGGUCUGAAGAUGUACUCUUUCAUUUGGAAACCCUAAAUUUGGAAUAUGUUUUAUAUAUGGAUGCUCCUGUUAUUGCUGUUACUGUUAAUGAUGUUACUCUUCCUGCUGCUGAAACUGUUGAAAAAUCGGAUACGAAUAAAAGGGAUUAUGUUAAGGAUAAUCGCACAUGUCGUAGAUACUUGUUGCACUAUUUGUCCAAUUCAUUAUUUGAGAUAUAUUAUCCGUAUGAAAGUGCAAAGAAAAUUUGGGAAGCUUUAAAAUCAAAGUAUGCUGUAGAAAAUUCUGGACUUAAGAAAUAUGUUGCGGGGAAAUUCUUAGAUUUUAAGAUGCAAGAUGGAAAAUCUGUUAUAGAUCAAGUUCACACGUACCAAACAAUUGUGGGGGAAGUCAUUGGGGAAGGAAUGAAAAUAUGCGAGAAUUUCCAAGUUGCUGUACUUAUCGAAAAACUACCACCCUCGUGGAAAGAUUAUAAGAUGAAUCUCAAACAUGAAACUAAAGAUUUCACUAUGCAGGAACUAGUAGCUCACAUCCAUAUUGAAGAACAAAACAGAGCUAAAGAAAGGGGAGAUGUAGUUCCAAAUCAAACUGUCAAAGCUAAUCUCGUGGAACAAAAGCCACAAUGGAAGAGCNNNNNNNNNNNNNNNNNNNNNNNNNNNNNNNNNNNNNNNNNNNNNNNNNNNNNNNNNNNNNNNNNNNNNNNNNNNNNNNNNNNNNNNNNNNNNNNNNNNNNNNNNNNNNNNNNNNNNNNNNNNNNNNNNNNNNNNNNNNNNNNNNNNNNNNNNNNNNNNNNNNNNNNNNNNNNNNNNNNNNNNNNNNNNNNNNNNNNNNNNNNNNNNNNNNNNNNNNNNNNNNNNNNNNNNNNNNNNNNNNNNNNNNNNNNNNNNNNNNNNNNNNNNNNNNNNNNNNNNNNNNNNNNNNNNNNNNNNNNNNNNNNNNNNNNNNNNNNNNNNNNNNNNNNNNNNNNNNNNNNNNNNNNNNNNNNNNNNNNNNNNNNNNNNNNNNNNNNNNNNNNNNNNNNNNNNNNNNNNNNNNNNNNNNNNNNNNNNNNNNNNNNNNNNNNNNNNNNNNNNNNNNNNNNNNNNNNNNNNNNNNNNNNNNNNNNNNNNNNNNNNNNNNNNNNNNNNNNNNNNNNNNNNNNNNNNNNNNNNNNNNNNNNNNNNNNNNNNNNNNNNNNNNNNNNNNNNNNNNNNNNNNNNNNNNNNNNNNNNNNNNNNNNNNNNNNNNNNNNNNNNNNNNNNNNNNNNNNNNNNNNNNNNNNNNNNNNNNNNNNNNNNNNNNNNNNNNNNNNNNNNNNNNNNNNNNNNNNNNNNNNNNNNNNNNNNNNNNNNNNNNNNNNNNNNNNNNNNNNNNNNNNNNNNNNNNNNNNNNNNNNNNNNNNNNNNNNNNNNNNNNNNNNNNNNNNNNNNNNNNNNNNNNNNNNNNNNNNNNNNNNNNNNNNNNNNNNNNNNNNNNNNNNNNNNNNNNNNNNNNNNNNNNNNNNNNNNNNNNNNNNNNNNNNNNNNNNNNNNNNNNNNNNNNNNNNNNNNNNNNNNNNNNNNNNNNNNNNNNNNNNNNNNNNNNNNNNNNNNNNNNNNNNNNNNNNNNNNNNNNNNNNNNNNNNNNNNNNNNNNNNNNNNNNNNNNNNNNNNNNNNNNNNNNNNNNNNNNNNNNNNNNNNNNNNNNNNNNNNNNNNNNNNNNNNNNNNNNNNNNNNNNNNNNNNNNNNNNNNNNNNNNNNNNNNNNNNNNNNNNNNNNNNNNNNNNNNNNNNNNNNNNNNNNNNNNNNNNNNNNNNNNNNNNNNNNNNNNNNNNNNNNNNNNNNNNNNNNNNNNNNNNNNNNNNNNNNNNNNNNNNNNNNNNNNNNNNNNNNNNNNNNNNNNNNNNNNNNNNNNNNNNNNNNNNNNNNNNNNNNNNNNNNNNNNNNNNNNNNNNNNNNNNNNNNNNNNNNNNNNNNNNNNNNNNNNNNNNNNNNNNNNNNNNNNNNNNNNNNNNNNNNNNNNNNNNNNNNNNNNNNNNNNNNNNNNNNNNNNNNNNNNNNNNNNNNNNNNNNNNNNNNNNNNNNNNNNNNNNNNNNNNNNNNNNNNNNNNNNNNNNNNNNNNNNNNNNNNNNNNNNNNNNNNNNNNNNNNNNNNNNNNNNNNNNNNNNNNNNNNNNNNNNNNNNNNNNNNNNNNNNNNNNNNNNNNNNNNNNNNNNNNNNNNNNNNNNNNNNNNNNNNNNNNNNNNNNNNNNNNNNNNNNNNNNNNNNNNNNNNNNNNNNNNNNNNNNNNNNNNNNNNNNNNNNNNNNNNNNNNNNNNNNNNNNNNNNNNNNNNNNNNNNNNNNNNNNNNNNNNNNNNNNNNNNNNNNNNNNNNNNNNNNNNNNNNNNNNNNNNNNNNNNNNNNNNNNNNNNNNNNNNNNNNNNNNNNNNNNNNNNNNNNNNNNNNNNNNNNNNNNNNNNNNNNNNNNNNNNNNNNNNNNNNNNNNNNNNNNNNNNNNNNNNNNNNNNNNNNNNNNNNNNNNNNNNNNNNNNNNNNNNNNNNNNNNNNNNNNNNNNNNNNNNNNNNNNNNNAAAAUUUGUGCUUCGCGGGUGUACCCAGGUAGCCCACUGUUUUGAUAAAAUCCCUAAUUUCUUUUUAUACUAUUUACUCCUAGCCCUAGCUGUUUUCCCAAAACGUAAACCUUAAUUAGUUUUACGUUACUGAUUUAUCUCCAACGUUCUUCUAAAAAUUUAUUUCCUUUCAACGUUCGGGUAUUUAUUUUCCCAACAGUCUGGUUCGUUCUUCUUCUUCUAUAUAUACUGUCUCUGUUCUCUGUUCUCUGUUCUGUGAUAGAUAUAUAUCAUAUCAGUGUGCUUGCUUUCUUCUUCUCUGUUAUUCAUAUAUUUUCUCUUGAUUGGGGCAAUUCACAAAGACGAGUCCAUAGUCUUCUUCUGCGAGUACACGCAAUCGGAGGCUUGCCGUUGAAUCCUGGAGGGUCAACGCCGUGGAGCUCAACUGUACCGGUUCAUAUAACCAGUGAAGGCGGAAUCACUUUUUAGGACAGUAGCUUUGCUACGCCUCGGCUUCUUUCAUAUAACAGCUAAGUUGUUCCAAUUUGUUCGCCUAAUAGUCUUGUUAAAACUGCUCUUGCUGUUGUUGCUUUGCUACUGCUAUUGCACUGCUUCUGCUUCUGCUACUGUUGUUAAUUUAUCUGGUUUCUAACAAAUUAUUAUACACAAACAUGCACAGGCACAACUUUAUGUCGCUUUUCGAUUGAAUGAAUAAAAUAGAGGACGAAAUAAAAUAAUUUUAAAAUAUUUUAAGUGUGUAUUUUGUUGUUGGUAGUGGUAGGUGUUGUCGUGACAAAAUUAUCACAUAUAUUUAUUCCAUCUUCUCCACAUAUAUAUAGAAUCAAAAAACAAAGGGAUGAAAUAAAUUUUCAUUCCAUUAAAAUAAUUUAUCGUCCAAAAUAGUCAUCAAAUACAUGACUAUUUUUAUUUAAUUUUUUCCUCUAUUUUAUUCUCUCAAUUCAACCGUAUACAUUAAAGUUAUAAUGAAUCCGCAUUCAUACCACAACGCAUGCACGGUUAUGAAUUUUAUUGUUAAUUAUAAGAACUGUAUAAUAUGGUUGAAGAUGCGGACGCCAAUGAUGUGAUCAAUUAUAAUGUAUUAAUUGAGUUAAUUUCUAGAGAGAAAGAAAAAUCUUGGCAAAUAAAUCCAAUUUAUAUUCUUAUAUAUAUAGAUUGUCUUUUAUAUAUAUAUAUAUAUAUAUAUAUAUAUAUAUAUAUAUAUAUAUAUAUAUAUAUAUAUAUGCAAGUUUUAUCCUUCUAGUGUAAGAAACAUCACAAGAUUAACAAAGCCCACUGAAAUAAAUUACGAGUACCACUUCAAACCAAAAACAAAGACACACCACCCACCAGUGUUACAGUCCAAAAUAAUGUAUACAAAUAUGAAAUCAAAUUUGAUAAAGAAUUGAAUUUGGACACAAUUUAGAUCACCAAUAGGCAUGCACUUAUGUAACUCAAAAAAAAAUCAUUAAUUGAAAGUGGGGAGAAAAAAAGAAAAAAGAACAAAAGAACAAAAUAAAAAAUGAAUGUCAUUCAUACAUGGAGAACAGGGUCCCAUAUAAAUAAAACAAAAUUGAAAAUGUAAUAAAUUAAAUGGCUUUUGAAUUAAAUUGUCAGGUUCAAAUUAAAUUGACAAAUAUUAAUUAUUUUGGGUCUCAUUCACUAUUCAUUCAAAGUAGAGAAAACAUAUUAAAUAUCAUAUUGUUAUUCCUUGGUAUUAAUGGCAUCCAUUAAAUAUAUAUAUAUAUAUAUAUAUAUAUAUAUAUAUAUAUGAGUUUAUAUAAAAUCAAAUUUGAUUGAAGAAAACUCACCUAUAUGCAUGCACUUACUACUUAUAUAAUUCCAAAGAAAUCAUUAAUUGUCAGUGAGGAGAAAUUUAGAAACAAAAAAAAAAAAAUUACUACUCCUAUAGUCUAUAGAUAAAAAAAAUAAGCUUAAAAAUGGCUAUGAGGGAUACCUGGAGAAAAAAGUCCCACAGUCACAUCUAUACUCUCUCGUACCACAGGUUUUAGAGUGAACCUUCCAAUCCGAUUGAACUGCAUAAAUCUUUGCACAUUUCUCACACUUCCAUUUCUUCUCCCCAUGUUUCCUGCAAAAGUGUUUCUUGAUCCCUGUAAGAUCACCCAGUGCCCUUGAAGGAUGAUGGUGAACACAUGAAGCCUCAGGGCAAACAUACGCCUUCUUCUUUAUCACAUCCGUAUUAUUAUUCCUCGGCUUUAACUUCCAUGGCAAAUUAUGACCUCUCCUAUGAAGCUGAAGAUUCUGGUCUCUCUUAAAUCCUUUCUUGCAAACCUCACACAUAAAUCUAUUGGUAGCUAGUAGGGUCCCUGGAGAUAAUGCAAUCACUUCAGCAUCAGGGUCUGCAUAAAUCAUAACGAAAACAAUUACCGGUCAAUUUAUAUUAAUUUACAGACUAUGUCGUUGUAUUUUCUAGUAACAAGAGUCAGACCGCAUGAAAUCUUGAUCAAGAAUACAAGUUUAAUCCAUUAAAACUGAAAAUAAAUAAGUGACUAUAAAUUUACCUGGGUUUCCGGGUAGGUUUCUUUUCUUCUUGAUGUUCUGGGGCUGCUGAUCAACAGGGGAAAUGUUCGAAGCUAAUGGAUUUAAGGUACCAAAAGAAGAAACACAGCUAGCUUCCUCAGAUAAAGAAGUGGUAUUAUUUGACAUGACUGCACCCACCGGUAACAUGAUUGGCUUAGAACAAGACUAGUACUCACUCUUAAUUAAUGAAUUCCUCUACAAUUAAGAAAGAGAAAACAGAACAAUAGCUGGCUAACUCUGUUUUUGGAUUUUUAUACUGGCUUUAUUGUAACAAACUAUUUACAAGUGUAAGAAAAGCCGCUAGCAUUGAUUUGGAUUAUUAGCAAGUGGCAAUAUUACAAAGGAAUCAUUUCAAAUGGAUGGCAAAAGGAAAAACUCGUGAAGAGAGAGAAACAGAGAGGUAUAUGAUGAUGGGUGAUUUCUCAAAUUAAUAAGCCACUAUCUACCUAGUUAGCCAUGGAUAUAUCAUAUAUUAUAUAUGGCUUGCAUCAGAGCAUAACUCCGCAACAUAUAUAAUUCAGAUAUUCUCUCUCCUAUUAAUUAUAACUCAUCCAUGCAAUCAAGAACAUGAAGAAAAAACCAGCGACAAUUGUGUAUAUAUAAUUUCUUUUCGUAGCUAUCGAUCAAUAUCUAUAUGUAUGAAUAUAAGACAGACAGUAUCUAGUGUAUAAAGAAAAUAAUAUUAUGAAGGGGGAAAAAUGGUAAUGUACAGAAGGUGAUGAUUACAAUGGCAGACUAUGGAAAAAAAAAGCUAAGAAUUCAGGGGAAGAGAGAAAGAGAGAGGAUGAGACUGACUUGAGCAAAGACUACUAGACUAGGAAGAAGAAGAAGAAUCCGACCCCUCAAAACUCUUUUUUCAUGGUCAUUCAUCAAUUUUAUUUUAUUUUUAUUUUUAUUUUUAAUUCUUUACUUUGAUUGAUUUUGUUUACAGUUUUUAAUUUAUUUGUAUCUGACUUUUGCGCUUUCUGUCUUUCCCUUUGUUUCUGUUACAAAACACCCAAAUGCUAAUGGGGAUUGAUUUGAAUGGGAUGAUACUAAAAGAUGGAGGACUGCUAAUAAAGCAUGCUUAGGAGUUUGGAUGAUGAAAUUGAAAAGCUUAAAGGCAAAAGUGUUAAAGAGAGAUUAGGCCCUUUAAUCCUUUUUCCAAAUUAUUUUUAAUACUUGCAUCAUUGAUUCAUAAUUUUUGUUCAUAAAGGUUACGGAGUAAAAAUCAAUAAUCAAACUCUAAAAAGUCAAUUCAAACACGUUAUUAAUGCUGAUUAUUGAGGCCUUGAAAACUUCAUACAGUCAGUCAUUCCAUUAACUUUAGUAGUUUCCAAUUUUAUAUAAUCACCCUCAACAAAAGAUAAAGAUGAAUAAAUAUUAGAGUUUUGUUUUCUAACAUUUAAUUACAAGAGCAAAGAAGUAGGAAAUAAUCAAAUGCUAGACAUUCAUACUCUAUUAUUUGAUCCUAAUUAUUUAUAUCAUAAUAUUCAAUGUUCAUGAUUAACUGAUUGAAUUAUUUCUAGAGGUUAUGGAAUCUUGAUAACUUUCUUGUUUACAAUUAUUUUCGAGAGGAUUCCACCCCUCCCACCUUUUGUCUUUCUUUCUUUCUUUUGUAAUUAUUCUCCCAUCCUAGUGUACAGUGAAAGCUCUCAAGCCACACUAUACCAUCUUAUCCCUUUAAUUUAUCAAACCCAAAAUUCCAUUUUACUAGAGAUAUUCAUAAAACAAAUGGCUAAACAUGUCAUUUAUGUACAAUGGAUUCUCUUCUAUAGAGAAGACAUGCAUGAUCCAAAAUUAGUAUAUUUAUGUGGCAGCCUUUUUAUCCCCCAACGGUUCAUACAAGGGCACAAAUCCAUGCAAAUGAUCAACCCAUGAACCUCUUAAUUAGCAUGCCAGAAAUAAGACCCAUUUAUAGAUCAUUGCCUUUUAUAUAUAUAUAUAUAUAUAUAUAUUUAUCUUUUUUAGUGUCAUUUAAAACCUUACAAUUCUUGCAUGGUCUUUUCACACUUAAGCGUUAAGAUUGAUCGUGUAGGCAGAUUGGUUCGAAACGAGUGAUUGGCAAAAAAUAUAAAAAUAAAAUAAAAAAUCGUUGAAAAUACAUUAUGAGUACUAUUUAGUUAGUGUAUAGUCUGUAGAUUUUACAUACUUCAUUUUCAUCCUUCAGAAAUUACGACUGUAUCCUUGAAGCGUAGAUAAAAGGAUGACCCAAGAUUUGAUUCCACCCACCACUGAACUUUAGCUCGGUUGGUAUCAGUAUCAGUGUAUCACUGCACCUUUGCAAUGCAAUUCCACNNNNNNNNNNNNNNNNNNNNNNNNNNNNNNNNNNNNNNNNNNNNNNNNNNNNNNNNNNNNNNNNNNNNNNNNNNNNNNNNNNNNNNNNNNNNNNNNNNNNUUUCUUUCUUUCUUUUGUAAUUAUUCUCCCAUCCUAGUGUACAGUGAAAGCUCUCAAGCCACACUAUACCAUCUUAUCCCUUUAAUUUAUCAAACCCAAAAUUCCAUUUUACUAGAGAUAUUCAUAAAACAAAUGGCUAAACAUGAUCCAAAAUUAGUAUAUUUAUGUGGCAGCCUUUUUAUCCCAACGGUUCAUACAAGGGUUCAAAUCCAUGCAAAUGAUCAACCCAUGAACCUCUUAAUUAGCAUGCCAGAAAUAGGACCCAUGACCCAUCCAUAGAUGGAUAUAUAUAUAUAUAUAUAUAUAUAUAUAAAAUCUUUCUUAAGUACUUGUAAGUUCUUAAUCGGAACCCUAUGAGAGGGAUUUUAAUUUUUAUUUUGCUAAAUUCGUUUGAUCUUAGACUUUUAAUGAAUUGGGCUAUAACUUUUUGCUAACAUUCAUUCUUUUAGUUAUGGGAUAAAAUGAGUUUGGUCUAACUACUAUUCCAUAUAGAUAUUAUCACCCUUCUAUCCGACUUGAUAGUGUGCUGUAAUCCUUCCCCACAUCCUGCUAUAAUAAUUGUACGUAUAAAUACUACUCGAGAUUUUUUCCAAAAAAAUAAAAUAAGUCAAAAUUAUACCGUUACAAAAUAUAGGAAUAAUAUUGGAUUUUGAAAGAUAAAUUAAUAUAAUUUUAACUUUAAAAUUAAUAUUAAUUCAUUUAAAUUUAGACAAUAAAAUUAUAAAGUACUACUAAAUUCAAAAUAAUCAAAUAUAAAAGAAAUUUUAUUAAUUUUAAGUUUAGAAAUGUUAUGUAUCGACUUUGAAAACUUAAUAAUAAUUAAUAUUUGACAACUCAACUUAUUUUAUUUCAAAAAUUACUAAAGUUGAUAAAAUUAAGAAGCCAUGUCGGAACGUACCCCAAGAAAAAAAGGAAAUUUCAAUUAUGACAAACAAUACUCCUAUUUGCCAAGAUCGGAGUGAGUGACUUUCGUAGGAAAGAGAGGGAAAUGAUAAAAAUGGGACAAAUGGAGGACAACGUAUGUUUUUCAAAUAACAAUAAUAUUAUUAUUACAUAAAAAAGGGUCACAUAAUAUUUACAUAUACAUAUGUAUUGUAGGUCCCCACCUGAUAUGUGGAACCUACAAUAUAUAUAUGUGUAUGUAAGUAUUAUAUAACAUUUUUUUAUGUGAUAGUACGUAGCAUUUUUUUUCAAAUAAUGGUAGUAACAACAGUUUGGAAUAAUGGUAGUAUUAAAGAGUGUUUCUUUUCUGAUUUAACUUUUUGUAUACUGAUAAUUCCAAUUAUACUUCAGUAAUGACACUUAUAGAAGGAGAUUUUAAGUGAGUUAACCCCUAAGGGCAUAUUUGUUUAUAUGAAUUAUAAUUUUAAGAUUAUAAUAUUUAGAAUUAUAAUUUUAAUAAUAUUAAUUCUAGGAUUAAAUAGUCUUAGUACGUCACAUGUUUGUUUUUUAUAGAAUUAUUCAUGGGAUAACUUAAAAUAAUCUCAUGUUAUAUUUGUUUUUUUUUCAGGAUUAAUUAAAGGAUUGAAUAAAAAAUAUUAUUUGGACUAUUAUACCCUUAUCAAUAGUAACAUAUUUUAAACUAUAAUUUAAACCUUUUUAUACAUCAAAAAAUAAUAAACAAUUAAUUAUGAUGAUUAUUAUGGUCAUUUUAGACAAAUAUAUUAUGGUAAUUUUAAACAAUAAUGUUUAAAAGUAAUUCAAGGAAUAAUAAUAUUCCUUACAUUUUUUUUAUCACGUUAACGUUAAAUAGGCCCAUGUCCUGGAGCACAAAGGUCACGGAAACUAAUUGUUCCUACCAUAAAUAAGGCUGGUCUGGUUCAGUAAUAUUUAAAAACUCCAAUUAAUUUAAUAUAAUUUUUUUAAUAUUAUUAUUGAUUUAAUGUUCAGGUGUAGAUCUUUUGAAAAUUAAUUUGAUAUAAUGGUUAUUUAUGUUUAUGAUCUUAGUUAUGCAUCUUUUAAUAUUUACAGGGUUAUUAAUUAAUUGAUCAUCAUCCGUUAUAUUACUUUUUGUAUGUUUCUUGAGCUAGUUUCCAACUAAUACUUGGAUGGAGAUUUUGUUUUCUUUGUAAAACAUAGAAUAAAUAAUUUUCAGAAUUGGAUAAUAUAUAAGGUAAACAUUCCGUUGAUAUCCUAUAUGAAAAUUUUACCAUAAUUUUUGAUUAGUUGUUCAUUCUCACAAUCUAUUAUUAAAUUAUUUAAUAUCUAAUACUCUCUCCGUUCUAGGAUAAAAGUCUUGGUGGACUUUUCACGCAUAUUAAGAAGAUGAAUAAAAUGACAAAGUUGUCCAUAAUAAUGUCAUUAAAUAUGGAGAGAGAAUUAAAAUAAGAAAAUUAUGAGAUAUUUAAUGUUACGGGUAUAAUAGAAAAAUAUGUGUAAAAGUUUGGUUAUUAAAGGAAAAAGGACAUUUAUCAUGGGAUUACCCAAAAUAAUAAUAAAAUUUUUAUCAUGGGACGGAGGGAGUAGUAGAUAAGGAAAAUCAAUCACAUGGUAGAUAAGCUAGGUUAUGUACUUAGUUAUUCAUAAUUUAAUACAAUUAUAAAAAAAAAGAAAAAAAGAAAUUAAUUGAUUUAGAUCAUGAUCUGUAUUGUUGGAUCAAGUGAAUGACAAAUCAAUUAUCAAUUAUAUGAUGAAUCAAAGUAUAAUUUACUCUUAUCUGACUCAUUGACAGACUUAUUUUUGCCCAUAUAUAUGUUGAUCGUUGACUGUUGAUUGUUGACCAAAUUUAAAUAUCUAUCAUUUUUCUUGUUUUAUGUCUCAUGCGGAUCGAAGAAGCCAAGUGUCCAGUCACAACUUAAAAGUUAGUCAAAUUAACUUAUAAGUUAUUUUUAUUAUCAAGUGUUUGGUUGUGACUUCACAAGAAGAAGAGUAGGAGUGAGAAAUAUUUUCUUUUCUUUUCCUUAUUUCUUUAGUGUCAUUUUUUUCUAUUCGGAAAUGUCUAUACCAUAUUUUGUUUCCGAGUAUAUAUAUAUAAAUAUGAAAGGAGGAGUAAUAAUACGCCCAACCUUGCAAGUCGGCCGCUCUGGGCCUGUAGACUGCACUGUAGUUCUUAACCAUAACCCUCCCGGUUCAAUAAUUUUCCUGAACUUUCCAAUCCUUUUAAAGAUUAUAAUGAUCAAUGGCCCAUUUACAAAAGGAGUUGGAGUCAUAUUUAUCAAUUUUUUGUUUAUAAGAUAGAUAUUUUUAACAAAAAUAAUGUUUAAAUUAUUACUUUCAGUAAAAAAUGUAUAAAAAACAUCCCUUGUUUUUUUUAUUUUCAAACACACAUUGUAACUAAAUAAUCUCUAAACUUUUUGGUUGAAAACUUACUCCUCGCAAUUAUCCAACCGGCAAUUUCUACCGGUCUAGCCACCGCUCCAAUAUAUAUAUAUAUAUGCAAUACUGCUUUUUAUAUAUAUCCAAAUUAUAUCUAAAUCACUGUAAAAAUUCCAAUUAAAAAUAAUACUAUAUAUUUUUUGAGAGUCCAGGAAAAAUAAAAUAAAAAUGGACACAUUUAUGCAACUUGUCAUCACAAACUAAUGCAUGCCUCUAUAAGAGUCUCCGUUGAUGAACAAACCUACUUAGCAUCACAACAUGAAUCACCAGACAUCUUUGAAAAACAACAAAUCCAUCAGAAAAAUCAACUGCAGCCACUUGUAUUUAGAAAGAUCAACAGCUUCAAGCUGUCUACAUUAAUAUGAGCCACAAAUACAACAUAUACCCAAGGAAGUCGAUCAAUGUUCAUUUUGUAAUACAAGCCAAUAAACAGAUUUAAUGCGUAUACUCCUGGUCUUCAAUGUUCAAAAAAUGAAAAUCAAAUCUUGACAUGGACUUUAGAACAUCGAACUGGCCAAGAAAUUGCUGCAAUCGGAGUAUCUGACCAAUUAGAGAGAGCUAAAUGAGAGGAAGGGUGCACAAUAGAAAAGGAGGUAGCAAAUAUAGAAUUGUAGUGCAGGAGUUAAAAACACCAGAAACUAUACAUAUACAUAUACAUAUAUAUAUAUAUAUAUAUAUAUCAAAUAUUUUAUUUAGUUAGUAGAUUUCUUCAGCCUCAGCCUCCUCCGUGGUUUUUUCUCCGAUUUGGGUUUCCACCUAAAACCUAGUGUUAUUGUCUUUAUUUUUUUGCGUUAAUUUAUUGUGUUCGUCAUAAUUUGUCAUAACACAUAUAUUCCGGGUGAAACUUGCUUUCUGAUCUUAUAAACAAGGCCCUAAACUACACAAGAAGAGAGAAAAAUUAACCAACCAAUUAGGGAAGAUCUUAUGAGCAGUCCUCUGCAGAACAGGUCCAACUUUCUACUUUGAACCGAAACACAAGUAACCGAACAAACUGGAGAAGAAUUCACAUCUUCAUCUUUAUGCAAAGAACCUAAUACAGUAAUACACAGAAUAAGAUUUACAAAAUAACAGUGGAAGAGCAGUACAGGAAUGAAAAUGGUUAUUGACAUAAUGAACUGGGAAGUGGGGGUUAGCCAUUCAGGAAGAAGUCCCAGCUAGGAAGCUACUUUGGACAAGAACCUAAGAACCCCAUCCUAUCAGCUGGGGCAGUUACAUCUUCCUCUUCACCUUCUUCAUUUCCAGUUGCACCUAAUUCUUCAUCAAAUCCUUCAUUCAAUAAUUCUUCCCAGAAUCCCUCGUCAAGUUCUCUAUCUCCACUCACGAGUUGGUCAGAUUCUCUAAGGUCUUCUUCCUGUUCACUACUCACUCUACCAAAUCCCUGCAUCUCUAAUGCAAGUGCUUCUAGCUCAGACACCUGAAGACCGUAAUAAUCUCCAAAUUCUGGAGGCUCGAAUUUGACAGAUUGGGCAGCAUUUCGGCUUGAUUCUCCAAUUUCAAAACCUCUAUGGCUUUGAUCAAUUGGCCGCCACCUUUUUCUAGAAAUGGAUUCUUCAAGUUCCUUUCUUUUCUCCACCUGCUGGACUAACUGAUGGGUAAAUGUUGGAUUUUGCAUAGCUCUUGCUAAGAAUCUCAUCAUUUGAUGCUGGUUUUUUUCUGUGCCUUGUAGUCUCAGUUCCAUGGACUGAAGGUGAGCUCUGGUGUUCUGCUGCUGGUGUCUAAGCUUCAAAAGUUCCAUCAGUAGAACUUGCUUUUCAUGUUUCAGGCGUUCAACUUCACCGUCUAAUCCAGAUCCUCCACCUUCAACACAAGUGUCAAGUCCUUCUUGCGGAGUCUGAGGAGGUGCCUUUUUUCUCUUAAUGUUCUUCAGAAGAUGCUUCUGGCCCCUUAUAAACGCUUCAUUCGCAAACUCCCAUAUAUCUGGAUCUAUCUUUCUAAAACCCUGCAUCAGUAUGAUCCAUAUUCAAAGGUCAACUGAAGUUUGUGAGUAAAAUAAUAUCUUGAGUCUUCAUACAGAAAGGCAUAAUCUGUUCCAUCAAGGACGUAGCAUUCCCACUCGUGAUAAUCACUUGCAAAUUGACACUUUGAUAUCUUGAACCAUUAUGAACCAAUCAGAAACUAAGAAAAACAUCUGCAUGAGCAUAACCCCAAAAGAGCCUCUGGGAGGAAACCACACGCAGAAACUAGCAGUUGGAGGUAUUGAAUAGGCAAAACAUGAAGAUGGAAAAAUUCAAUUGAUAUUCAAUGCAUGAUGGAAACAGGAUAUAUUCCAAGUGCUUUCGAAAGAAUACUCAUGAUACUUUAAGAACGCAUGUAAUAAUCAGUAGCAUAGAAAAUUAUUCAAUAAGAUCUGUAAGAAGAAAAAUAAAUUCACAUAGGUACCUGAAAUAAAUUCGGAAACAUAUAAGACUUUUUUUAUUAUAGCCCACUCAUGAACCACCUUGUUUUUUUCUAGGAUCAGAAAGAAUUUGCUUUUGAGUAAAGUUGUGUCAUACUUGCACACUCGCUCAUAGAAUUGGGUUUCCUUGGGAGUUCUCAUGGAGAAGUAUUAUGAAGAUUAGUCAUUAUGAGUUUGGUGGUGACAACAUGUGGGAUUGUAGCUUGAUAAAUAGCAUCAUUGGGACUCUAUGGAGAGCUGAUUGCUACUAGAUUAUAUAUGAUGUUUUCUCAACUCAACACUGCCUUUUAUCUCAAACUAGUUGGGGCAAGCCGAAAAUUAUCAAUACAAAAAUAUGCAAUGUAAUGUUAUAGCUAAAAUCAUUAUUAAAAAAAACAUAGCUAAGGUCUCCUACUAUCUCCAGCAGCUUGAUACACUAAAGGCCUCCUGUCCUAUAAGAGUUGUUGAAAACCUGAUCAAGCAGACAGAAAAAUCUGGACUUUUACUGCUAGUAAACAGUUAUACUGCAUCACUUGGAGUAAACUCAAAUAAACUGCUUCUGAGGUCAAAUUGGCAAAAAUGGCGAAAUGUUUUUUCUUUAUUUCACAGAUAAUGUAACCAAGAUGUGCAUUUAUACUCUGGAUGAUGAUAUAACAAGACUGAAUUCAAACAAAAGGAAAACAAAAAUGUAGCCUUUUAUCAAGAAAGCAGAUUGCUACAAGACUGAGUUCAUUCAAGGGAAAACAAAAUGUAGGAUGUUAUUAAGAAAGCAGAUUGCCUUGUGGGUGGAUGCGCAACAGAAAAGAGAGCACUUUUUCUUCUUUUGUGAAUAUUAUGAGCAGUUCAGCACUUGAAGAAAAGACUUUCCUAAACAAAAAGAAAGAUUAGAAAUCUUGGCAGCCAGCUGUUUACUUCAUUUGUAGAGAAGAGAGAGCAGCAUCUUUCAACAUCAACAGCCUACAAGCUCAAUUAUAAGAGAAAUUGAAUCACUAUUAAAGCUGAGAGGUAUGCAAUUGGAAUGGAGUUCCAAGGAUUAUUCAAAUAUGAGAGCUUUGUUUGAACUGGGGACUUGGAGAUAAUUUGUUUUUCCAAAUUUUUAUUUCUUUCUUUUCUUUUCUUUUUGGGGGGGUGGGGGGGUAAGCAGUGAUAUGCCCUGAGUUAUAUAUUAUUAUUUGUUCUGAUUCUACCGAACUUGCUAGUUAUCAAGCAAAAUUACAGGAAAAUCAUGAACACUAAUAAGGCAUAUCAAUAGCUCAAAUAAGAAAAUAUAAUCAACCAAAAAUUCAUUUUUAAAAAAAAAAUUAUCACCCAAUUGACAUUUCUAGAUGAACUCCAUAUAUCUAAUAUUAGAUGAAAUAUUAAAGAACCAAGAAACUUACAUAAGUAUUAAGCUGCCUAACAAAGCUUGAAAAAUUGUUGUGCUUGAAAUAUCUUGGGAGAAGAUUGGUGGAUAAAGCAUUAGGAUCCCAAACAGCAAAGCUAUGACCCUUUCCACUCCAAGAAACAAUAUGAUCAGUGGAUGGAUCAUCCACCAUAUCAAAGCUUUUGUUAAGGAAUGGUGGAGGACCUAUUUCAUUUAGACCCUCCAUUGGCUGUGGCCGUAGCACCAUGGCCGGAUUGCUGGACCGCAAUGAACAUGAUCCUGGGUAUUCGUCCUUAACUGGGUAUGAAGGAUUCAUGAUCAAUAUUACAAAAAGAUUUGAACUUUUUUCGGGGGUUUCACCUUUUAGCUUCUUUUUUCAUCUAGUUAUAAAAUCAAGAAAUAUCUCAAUCAAAUUUCGUAUAAUGGACUCAGGCAUGAACAAAAUAAAGAUUAGAGAUUUGAAAAUUUUCUUUAAAUAAAAUAGACAAGUUACAUGAUAGAGAAGACAAAUAAGCUAAAAAUAGAUUUCUUUUAUUGGAAAUAUAGUUUUGAGAUUAGAAAGCCACCAUACUAGUGUAUUGAAAGAGAAUAUAUAACAAGGUGAGGAAAAUCAAAUGAAGGACAAAAGUGACGAAUAAGCUAAAAAUGAAUUUCUUUUUGAGGAAUCUAUUUUUGAGAUUAGAAAGCCACCAUACUAGGAUUGAAAGAAAAUAUAUAACAAGAUGAGGAAAAUCAAAUGAAGGUAAAAAAAAUGGGUAAUUUCAGAUCAUCUAUUUUUGGAAACCCUGCUUUCUCUUUUGGGAAAGUUAGUUUAUGCAGUUGAUUGAGAGAAGUUGGCUGGUUUGUCAAACAAAUGAAGUUUCUAUGGAGCCAGGGGGGAG